rnacentral:lncRNA from 1 species
AUUUAUUACCUUUUUGUCCUGGAUAUAGGUGAAAAUUUGGAGCUGGACACACAACACUGUAUUAAUAAAAAGAAAUCUGCUGGCAACCGAAUUACUGGCCUGCAGGUUAAUUGUUAAUUUUGUCUUUCUUUUUAAUAAAUAAUUUAAGGUGCGGCAUCUUGGAAUUCUUUAAUAUUGUUUGAAGCGAUAUGACACCUUAUUCAGAUUUGGAUUUUUCUGUAACAUUCAACAUUUCAAUUAUUGCAGUUCGCAUCAGAUGAUUCUGAGAGAGUAAUGAUCACAUCCGCUGACUCGAAGAUUCGACUAUUUGAUGGGGUCAAUGUCAUAAAAAAAUUCAAAGGUGGAGUGCAUUAUAAUUACCACUUCUUCAAAGUUUUCUGGUGGCUUAUAAAAAUUUAUUUUACUCACCGAGAGAUCUUCUAUAGUGUUUUAUAAAAAAAAUCACUGUGGUCCUUUUUUGUUUACAACUUACGAUCUUAUUGCUUUUUAUUACAUUAUGCAGGUCUCCGAAAAGCCAAGACUCUUUCGCCUGCGUCAUUUACACCGGACGGCAGAUAUAUAAUCUCGGUCGGCAAUGAUUCCCAUGUUUACAUAUGGAACUCAGAUGGAUCUACGAGCCCCUGUUCCAAAGUAGACGAAUCAAUUAAUACACGCAGCUUGAUCAAACCUUCGUCGAAGGGACCCAAAUCAAUUGAUUCGUUCGAAUCCUUCGUCUCCAAAGGUGUUUCAUUAGCAGCUGCGUGGCCUGGAGUGGACAAAAAAGCGGGAAACGACCGAAGCAAAAGCUCCUUUGAUCCAUCCUCCAUCCCGAAGAGAAUCUUAGAGCCGUCGACCUUGCUCCGAGACCCGGACUGCUUGUCCCUCGGUGCUUGGCUAUUUUCCAACGGCCUGUUGAGGGGAACCGCGACAUGGCCGGAGGAGAAGCUUCCUCCGCCGUCUGAUUUGUCGUCGAUGGCCGACGAUUGCAGCCUUCCCCAUCGGUGUCUUGCUUCUAUGUCGGCGUCGUGGAACAGCGUCAUAGCGACUGCGAGUGACGAUGGGAUUAUCAGGGCUUUCCAUAACUACGGAUUGCCCGUUAGGUUGUGAAAAUGUGCAUCAGAACCACCGCAAGGGCCUUUUCCAAUUAUUUCGAAAAGAAAGGAGGGCCGCAGUUUGCUAUUUUUGCACUGUAACAUCCUUACAGUUUUUUUAUUUGGGUUUCAGCUCAAAUUUGAAGGAUCGAUGCUGCGCGAAAUUUUUAGCAAAUGGAUUCAGCAUAAUAUUAUUUUCUCCAGGAAACAAGAAGAGCAACAUUACCGGCAAAAGAGUUACAGGAAACAAAAGUGACCCAAAAGGGAUAAUUGGGAAUUUUGCUUAUUGAAGUAGGGAUUAUGAAAAGGACACGAGAGAGAUAAAUAGAAGGAAUGCUUUUAGCUGCAAGUGCAGUUGUUGUUGUUGUUGUUUUUUUGUUUUGUUUUUUUUUUUUUUUUUUUUUUUUUUUCUGGGGGGGAAGAAAAUGCUCUGUGAAUAUCUAUGUUUCCAUGGCUGUUGUUGGACAGGAAACUUUGUAAUCGCCAUGUUACAUGAAGUGAUAUCUGUUUUAUAUAUAUUAUAUGGUUUAAUGCACAUAUUUAAUCAUUUAAAUGUAUUUAAUUGAUUGAUAUAAUUCGAUAUUCAAUGUUCUCUCAACUGUUUAUCAGAAAGAGAUGCUACGUUGGGAUCUACUUUUUUUUCACUUGUACCUAAUGUGGAAGCUUUUUAUGAGAUGCCGCAAAAGCUGUGAUAAUGAAAAUUUUCUCUUUUUAGCUUUUACUCCUGCAUAGAGGAGGUGGGUGUGUGGUCCUAAAUUUAUAACAGGACUUUUUUGCAAAUAGUCUCCUUACAAUUUUUUUUUUUAAAUUGGCCUUGUUAAAAAUUUAUUUACAAAAAUGACCCUGGCCUCGUCACGCAAGCGCCACGUCAGUACCACGCGGGCGAGGCCAGGCGAGAGGGUUAAGUUGAACACGGUGAACCAUUCACCGUGUUCAAUACAAAAAGUUUUUGUAUUGGACACGGUAAAUGAUUCACCGUGUCCAAUACAAAAUAUCUAUGAUCGAAAUAUUUGUAUUGAACACGGUGAAUCAUUCACCGUGUUCAAUACAAAUAAUUGGACACAGUGAAUGGUUCACCAUGUCUAAUAUAAAUACCUCCAACUUAAUCAUUGUUGGGGUAUUUGUAUUGGACACGGUGAAUUGGACACGGUGAAUCAUUCACCGCGUCCAAUACAAAAAUCUUGUAUUGAACACGGUGAAUAGUUCACCGUGUUCAACUUAAAUAUCUGGGCCCGCCCUGCCCGCGUGGUGCUGACAUAGCGCUGGCGUGGCAGGGACAAGGUUAUUUUUGCAAAUAAUUUUUGGACGUGGCUAUUUUUGUAAAUAAAAUUUGUCAGGAGACUAUUUGCAAAAAAAGCCCAUAACACAUGUUCAAAACUUCGUUAAAUUUUGGUCCUACGUCAACUUAAUACAAAAAAAAAAAAAAAGAUAAACGAGAGCUUUGACAAAUUUAGUCUCCUCAACUAUAUUUUGAUCUACUUAUCUUUUUGACCAUUGGUUGUUUUCUUAUGCUGUUUUAUAGUUACUUUUUUUUUUUUUUCUUUCUUUCAAAUAUAGAUAGAUUACUCCAACUAAUGCAGUCCACUUUCUAAAACAAGUAAUUAAAAAUGCAAAAGUAAAAAAAAAAAAUUGAAAAAAAAAUUGUAAGGGUUUUUUCCACUAGAAAGCGGCUGAAAUUUUUUUUAAAAAAAAUAGAAAUUCAAACUCCCAAUUUCUCAAGUAAAAUAAUAGUGCGUAUUUUUUAUGAGAAUUUACGAAUUAAUUUGUAGACGUUCUAUUUCUAGUCAAAGUUAACGGUUUCCCUCCUUUGUUGACUCUGAUUUUUCUAUUAUCUUUUUUUUUGCCCCACCAACUACUUGUUGCCAAUCAAUAUAAUUUUUUAUCUAUAUACUGUAAAAUAAAAAAACAAAAUACAAUUCAAUCCCAUUGCUUGCACGUAACUAUCAAGGUCAUAUGCCAACUUAGGUUACCAAUUUUUAUCUCCUUCCACUAAAUUUAUGCUCCCAUAUAGUCAAUGGCAUGUAGAUUAUUCAAUUAAAGAGAAAACGAUGCAAAAUCUAAAAUAUUAUUCAUAUUUUCUUUAGUGAAAAUUUUCAAAACCCCCCAUGUGGUUUCAUACUUUUUCAUUUUAGUAUCCUGUAGUUUAAAGUAUAUCAAGUUAGUACCCUGUGGUUUCUCACUUUAUCAUUUUAGUACCCUGUGGUUUAAAGUGUAUCAAGUUAGUACCAUGUGGUUUUGCACUUUAUCAAUUUAGUACUCUGUGGUUUUAAUUUUGUAUAAAAUUAAUACCCUAUGGUUUUUAAACCACAGGAUACUAAAGUGAUAAAGUGUGAAACCACAUGGUACUAAAGUGAUAAAGUGAAAAAUCACAUGGUACUAACUUGAUACACUUUAAACUACAAGGUACUAAAAUGAUACAGUGAGAAACCACAGGAUACUAACUUGAUACGUUUUAAAUCAUAUGAUACUAAAGUGAAAAAAAUUGAAACCAUAAGGAAUGUUUUUGUAGUUUUCCCUUUUCUAAAUCACAAAUAGUCUCGUACAAUCAUCAUUUCUUUUUUUAUUAUUUAAAAUAUCGAUAAUUAUUAGAGUAGUUGAUAGGAAUACUUAAAAACUUUACGAUAAAGAAUUUAGUAUGUAAAGCCAUGGGGAACAAAUGCGAUAUUUAUUUAUUUAUUUAUUUUUGUAUAUAUUUAUAGACACGAGAACACUUUUGUAAUUGCCAAAUUAGUGCUAGAUUUGGUUAUCAGGUAACUUUCUCUUUUAAAGCAAGCAUCAUACGAAAGUCUAAAUUAAGAGUUUUACCUCUACUUGUACAUAAUAUAAGCAUGUUAGAAAACAAAUACCAAAAGGGAAUUAUUUGCCUGUGUGCGCUUUCUCAAAUAACGUUUAUUUAUAAUACCGACUGUCUCUAGCGUAACUGAUAAAAGACUUUGUGGUUGAUACCCGAAGUUUCAAGUUCGAAUCCUAAUUGAUUCAUAUUUCUAGCUAAGUUUAUUUCUAAAUUAAAUAAACGAAAUGGGUAACAUGCUAUCUAUCUCUAAAAAAAAAAAUUGAUUAUAAUAUUAUAGUGUUCCAGAGGUUUGGAUNACACUACUCAUUUAAGUUUUGGUAAAAAGGUAUAGAAUUUUUCUGCACUAUAGACUAUUUUGAAUCAGUUACCAAACUUUUCAAAUUUUUAUUUUACUAUCCGAUCUUUCAAUUUGUUUGAUUUGAAUCAGUCGACGAUACUUUAACUUUAAAAUUUUAAACUAAUUACUCGCUUUAAUAAAUUUAUAAUUAUAAAAAUUACAUGAAGUGUAAGAAGAAAUGUCGCAUUAAAAUUUUAAAGCCAAGAUGUUAUUGACUAAUUCAAAUCAAAUAAAUUAAUAGAUUAGACAUUCAAGACUACACAAAAAAAAAGACAUUAUAGUAAAAAACAAAAGAGAAUAAUAAAAUAAUGAACAAAUUAAUACAAUCAAACAACAAUUGUGAAAAAAAAAAAAAAAAACGUUACAUAAUAAUUACAUAAGCUGACAAUGUCUAUGGUCAAAAAAAUUAGGGACAAAAAUUUCGUGGACAUCCGUGCCCAAACUAUUUGUUUGGGCACGGAUGAGAAUGGGCGCCGCGUGGUGUGCCGCGCCCAUCGCAACAGUCCGAAAGAAAGAAAGAAAGAAAAAAAAAAAAAAAAUCAGGGGCCUCCAUUUUUUAGAAAGAGAGAGAGAGAGAGAGAGAGAAAGGGGAAGGGGCGGUGGUGAUGGGCGCCGCACAUCACGCUGCGCCCAUCAAACAAAUAGUUUGGGCACAGAUGUCUGCGAAAUUUUUGUCCAAAAAUCAAGAGCCCUACCAACAUCAGUCCUCUCUCCUCAUUCACAUACGCUGCUGCAUACACAAAACAAGGCCGGCCGGCAAAACAAAAUUUAAUGGGGUAGUUUGCUGUCUUCACGUGGGCCCCACCAUUUUUAAUAAUAAUAAAAAAGAAAUAAUAGUAGCAGUACUUCUCUUCUCGCACGCUGCCGUCGCCUCCUCCUCUUUCUCUCGUCCUUUUAGGAUAUGUCUGGCUUCAUUUUUAAUUUUAUUUCUGGCUUCACUUUUAAUUUUAUUUUUACUUAUAAUUAUCCGUGCUCUUGAUAAAAUAUUUGAUAAGUAAAAAGAUAAAAUUGAAAUUUAUGAUUCGGUUGGGUAGAGAGAAAGUAUCGGUGUAAUCUUUUAUAGUAAUUUUCUAUUCACUUUAUUUAUUUUAUUUAAAAAUAAAUUUAGCUGGAAAUAUGAAUCAACUAAAUUCGAACAUAAGAUCUCUUCUUUUGCUAUUUAUGCAGGGAAUGAUUAAUUUUUUUUAGUAACUUUCGAAUGUACAGAUAGUAAAUUUGAAAAAAAAAACAAAAAAUUGAUUAUAUCAGGAGGAAAAGAGAGAGAAAGAGAGAGCGAAGAAAAUGAGAAGGUAGAUGUAGGGAGGAGGCAGGCAGGGGCUAAAAGGGAUCGGGGAAGUGAUUGAGGAGAUCCCAGAAGGCACCUGGGGAGGGGAUGGUGGGGGUGGAGAGCAGGUGCUGGCUGUUUCCGGGGCUGGCGAGCACCAUGCCGCUGAGGACGGGGCUGAGGUCGCCGAGGUAGCCGAGCACGCUGGGGUCGAAGCCCAGCGAGGGCGACGCCAGGAACAAGCUCGGCGAUAUCGGCUGCAGCGACGCCGGCCCCGGCGACAGGAUUCCGGGGAAGAAGCAGGACGACGAGUUCGUCCCCAUCCCCCCCGCCGCCGCCGUCCGCCCCGUCAGCAAUUCGACGUCCGCACCCCCCUCGUCCUGCUGCUGCUGCAACAUAUAUUGCUGCCGAUGAUGCAGCGGCCGCGGAGACGCUGCGGCGGCGGCGGCGGGCGAGAGGAGGAGGGUCGUGGUGGCUUCUGCUUCUGCUGCUGCUGCUGCAGUCGUCGACGGAGCUGCUGCUGCUGCGGUGGAGGAAUAAGAAGAGGAAGAAGAAGUGUCGAGGGAGUUGCCGGUGAGGCGCUGGACGAGGGACAUGAAGUCGGAGGGGGUGGUGUGGAUGACCUUGGGCGACACGGCGUAGAUGAUCACGGGCGAUCGAUGAUGGUGUUGGUUUUGGAUUUGGCUUUGGAUUUGGAAUUGGAGAGGUUGUUGGUGUUGAUGUUGUUGAUGUUGGUGAGGAGGAGGGAGAGGGAGAUAGGGGUGGGGGUUGGGGAAGAGAGGGGGCUUUUUGGCGAUCUUGUAGGAGUCCUUGCUGACCUUGAGAGGGGAGGGGCGGGGGGCCUGCAGACUCCAGCCGCGGGACGGUUUCGCACUCCGGUACGCGGGAGGACUAUCCUGGCUGUGCUGCUGCUGCUGCUGGGUCCAUGUGCCUCUCGAUCCCUACUGCACCACCCGGUCUAGAGAGAGAGAGAGAGAGAGAGAGAGAGAGGGUCUUCUAUAUAUAUAAAGACAGAGAGAUGUACAGAUCUUGUACUCUUGUACUCUUUCUCUCUCUUCUCUUCUCUUCUCUUCUCUUCUUCUUCGUUGGGGUUGGGGUUGGGGGGAAGGGAUGAGGAAGGAGGUGUUAGAGAGAGAGAGAGAGAGAGAAAAUAAUAAUGAAGAGGCCAAUUUGGGGGAUCAGGAGAGAAAGUGGGGGGCGGGGGGGGCGUGAUGAUGAAUUGAUGAUGUAAAUAUUUUAGAAGAGAGAAGACGAGUCAAUGGACCGCCUACUGCGGAAGGAAAAUUCUUUGAAGCUCCGGUUGCGCCAUGUUUGGCACCCACCCGUGCUACGUGGCACCUUGUGAUUGGGUACACGAAAACACAACUCUGGAGUUAAUGUAUUAUUUUCUUUAUACAGAUAAGGAGAGUGAGAGAGUGUGUGUUUACUGUUCGUUUAGGCCAGGAUAAUUCUGGGAGUAGAAAAUUCAUAUGUUUUUAUCUUAUAAUAAAUUGAAAUUUUAUAGAUCUUUUUUUUUUUUUUUUUCCAGAGAACUCAUUAUAGCUCUUUUUUCUUGCUUCCUACAUCCUCCACCACCUCCUUCCCCUAGAUUCCACUGCCGAUACUCACGAGCUCUCCCACUCCGUCAACCGAGCGCCCUCCACCUCCCCGGUACCCUCUGUCACGGCCGUCGCCCUCCCCAACCACUCCGUCAUCUAAGCCCCUCUUCACCUCCGCAGCAUCCUCCGCCGCCGCCCUCCCCGCCUCCGGUGAAUUUUUCGUGUUGAGUUGUCACGACGAAGGGUGACAAAGAAGGUAGGAGGGACGGAGAGGUGGUGGGUUUAAGUAAGAAGGAGAAUAUGGUAGAGAUGAGUUUGAGCUAGAAAAAUUAAAGUGGUGGUAGUGGAUUUUUUUUUUUGGCUAAAUUACAGAAAGCUUUCCUGUCAAAAUUCGAUUUUUUACUUUUCCUUUCUGUCAUUUAAAAACAUACACUUUGCCCCCUUGUAAAAUAAAAAAUGUUCAUCAGGGGCUACGGUGUGAACUGUGAUGACAAAAUGAUUAUUUUGCCUCUCACCAUUUUACCUCUCACCAUGUUCAUAGGAUAGAAGACUGAGAGCAUUUUUAACAUAAAAAAUAUAUAAUAAUAUUUUAUAAACGAACCCUAACGGAUUACUAAUGGUAAAUGGUGGAGUAAAUAUUUUUCAUUUUAAAAUGGAGCAAAGUGUAAGUUUUUAAAUAACAAGGGGGGAAAAUAAAAAAUCGGGUUUUGACAAGGGAGUUUUAUGUAUUUUAGCCUUUUUUUUCACAUCAAAUUAUUUUUUUUUUGGAUUUGAAUUAGACACUAGAAAACAGAGUAAAAAAUUAUAGAAUUUAAAUAUAAAUUUUUUGUUUUAAAUUUUUACAGUUGCCUAACUAAUUCUUAGUUGUAGGGAAUCUAAGCACAGCUAAUAAUUGAUCCAGAAAGAAAAAAAAAAAAAUUGCCCACUCAAUGAGAAACUCUAAUGGUUAAUGGGAAAGAGAAAAUGAGCAUCUACAAAGAUGCUUUGACAAAUUAACUUUUCAAAAGGUCCAUCUCUUUGAAUGGGAUAAAAUAUUUUGCAAACGAAAAUAAAUGGGUUUAAUCUUUCACUAUCAAAAAGCAUCUUUUUCUGGAAAACAUACAUACAUGUAAGUUGGGAUGGACAUAUCAUGCUUGGUUUCAAGCUUAUUUAUUUUGGCUUAUGCAGUAACACUUUUUACAUAUGAUAUAAAAAAGGCCAGUAUCUUACAUUUUAAAUUAAUGUUUUCCAAUCACAAAACAACACUGAGAUCAGUUCAAGGCUAAUUUUUUUAAAAAAAAAGAUUAUUUUUUAUUUCAAGCAUCAUAUGGCAAAGAAGAAGAUCAGUUUAAGGUUUUAUUUAUUCAAAAGACGUUUAGCGCUUUUUCUACUUUGAUAUCUCUUCGACAGUGAUUUCAUCACUAUUUCGUAUAUCAGCGAAAAGAGCAUGCUUAGCUUUUCUUUUCUUUUUUUUUCUUUUUACGGAACUUAUAAACGGUGAAGCUAAUAUAUUUGAGCAACAUAUUUUCAAACAAGGCCUAAUAUUAAAACUAAACCAAUUUUCCUUAUCUACCGUUUUACUUUUCCUAUUUAGCCAAAAAGCAACAAAACUUUUACUAUCUAUUUCUCAAUUUGUUGAAUUGUCAUAUUUGUGAUGGCCAGAGCUUUCUCUCACUUUUGUUGCCCUAGGUUCAAGGGAACCACAAGUCACAAGUGGAACUACUUGCAUAUAAUCCUAAAAUUAUUGGGUAUCACAAUUUACUUCUCUCACCUAAUUCAAUUCACCAAUUCAUAGACUUUUUUUUCAAAAAUAUUUACACUUGUACUAAUUACAACAUAAAUUAAUGUAAAUUGGCCUAUUAGCUCAGUUGGUUAGAGCGUCGUGCUAAUAACGCGAAGGUCGCAGGUUCGAGACCUGCAUGGGCCAAUAAACUAUCUUUUUAUUUUUUUUGAGGGCUCGGCCCGUAAGUAUUUUAACUGGGUUGAGUUUGACGAGUUCAGAUGUUUUUUUUUUUUUUUUUUUUUUGAGAAAAAAGUAGCACGCUACCCGCUUCAUUCAUUAAAAUGAUGAACUCAGCUACAGGGGUGAGGCAACAUGGCCUCAUGGUGAGGGCGAAAAAAAAAAANUACAGUUUAGGGUUUAGGAUAUUACUGUCGAUUAACGGUUACCAACAAGCCGCCGAUUAGUUGAGAAAAAAAUGCUCCCAAAGAUACGUCAGCUGUUUGAUCUUGUUAACGGCAAGGAUAGGGUCCGGCUGGGAAUUCCUAAAAAUCAUGGCAUUUCUGACUUUCCAAAUUACCCACCAGCAGGCUACCAACCCGGUUAACCUGGAGCUCGCCGACGAGUCCAGAUAUUUAAAACACAUUUUUGAUAGCUUGAAAUUUUAGAAAUAAACAAUAUCACCACAUUUCUGAGUUCCUACACUAUUUACUGUAAAAACUGGAACUUAAACUAAUUAAAUUUAAGCUCAGAUUUGUAUUGUUGCUAAGGUCAAAUGCAUUUAUUAUUUUUUGAAAAAAAAAGGACAAAUAAAUUAAACUUAAUUGGCCAUGAUAUCACUUUCCCUCAUGGUAGGUAGGGUAUCCUCAACGUAGAGAAACAAUUUAGUUGUUCAUAUGUGGAAAUGUUAGAGGAACCUUGUCUCGUAUAAUUUUUCUAUUUAAUAACAUUCCUAUGAUCAACAUGGCACAUUUUUUUUUAUGCAUUUAUAGAUCUUACCAUAUAGUUCACUCAAAAAAAUAAAAAAUAAAAAAAAUUAAGGGGGCACCCUUUUUCUUUUAUGAGGAGUACUAGGAUUACAAAAAAAAAUGAGAUAAAUCGAUAGUUACUAAAUAAUAUAGUCAUUAAAUUGGAUUUAAAUUUUAACAUAAUAAUUAAAAAACUAGAAUUUGAGAGGUUUAUUUCAAAAUAGCUUACAGUGUAGCAGGUCUCUAUUUAUUUCUAAUAUUUUCUUAAUCCAAUCCAAGACCAAUUCAUUAAAGAAACAAUUAUAUUCACAUCCCAACACCAACUAAUAAAUCUUUUUUUAAAAAAAAUAAACAUCAAUUAUAUUAACUUAUUAGUUUCUCAAAUAUUUAAUUAUUCUAUCAUUUUACAGCUUUAUCUUUUUUUUUAAGGUUGCUUAACUAAUAUUCUUUCGCUCACCAACCACCGCUCCCUCAGCUAAACCGGAUAUAGACCCGGUCCACGGCUCAGAGAAACUAUUGCCUGCGCCGUCCCGGUUCAGACGUGGACCGAGUUCACCAUCCGACGUGGCAAAACGAACCGGCUUUGGGAUCUUGCACCGGUAACUGCCAAAAUGUGAAAUGACAAAUAUACCCUCGCGAACCCCUCGUAUUCCCGCAUCCUUAUUGCUAAACGACUGAGGGCAUAAUCGGUAAUCCACUUACCCCACGAGACGCAUCAUUUUCCUCUUCUUCAUUGCGUCUAAAUUUCGCGCUUAGUCGCCUCUCUCUCUCUCUCUCUCUAAAUCGCCAUUGACGAAGCUCAAAACCCUAAUUCCCAAAUAGAAAAAAGCUAAAGGAAGAAGCAAUUCUAUAUAUAGAUAUAUACACAUAGUGGAGGAGGAGGGAUAUAUACAUAUAUAUAUAUAUAUAUAUAUAUAUGUAAGGAGAGAGGUGUACACGGACUCAAUCCUCAAUAAGAAGAAGAAGAAGAGGAAUCAGAAGCUUCCCCUGCUAAGGAACCCUAAUUUUCGAAGAUGUUGGGGGAAGUCCUUACCAAAAUACUUGUGUAAGGCCUCUUUUUGCUCUCGAUCUCUUUGUUUUGGUGUUGAUCUUAUGGUCUCUUCAUUGAUUUGUUGUUUGAUGUGUGUGUGUUGUAGGGUUUUGUUCGGGUAUGCGUUUCCGGCGUUUGAGUGCUUCAAGAUGGUGGAGCAGCGGCCCGGCGAGAUCCAACAGCUCCGAUUUUGGUGCCAGUAUUGGUAAUCGAGAAUUUGAAUCCAUUUCCUCCUUUAAUUGGAAAAAAAGGGAUUUUUUGGGUCUCUGUUUUAGGUUUUUUGAGUUCAUUAUAGUUUGUGAUUGGUUUAGUUUUACUGAUUGCUGAGUUUUAUGAAUUUAAUAAUCAAACAUAUUUAGAUCAAAAGGAGGAGAUGUUAAAUGAGCUCUGUGAGCAUUAAAUUUUGUUGGAGAUUUGUUGAAUAAGGAAUGGGAUGAGAUGUGCUUGAUGAUAUGCUUAAAUGAAGAAGUCAAUUUUGAUGGGCUUAACUUGGGGGGGCCAUGCAUGAAUUGUUUGAUAUAUUCUACUAAAUUUCUAUUAUUAUUUUUUUAAUUAGUGGGGACUAGUCAAUUUAUAGAGGAGACAGGUCCUAUUAAAUCUCUCUUUGUUUGCCUUGUUGAGACCACUUGAUAUCGUUUGUACACAUUCAGGACCAAUUCCAUCACAUGUACAAAUCCAAUUAGAGGGUUCAAAGAGUAUAACAAGUUGAGGAUAUUGCACAUGAUGUAUUGGCUUAAGCACAGGCUGAAUUUUUAUUUUGUUUCCUAGGGAGCUGUUUGGAAACCAGGAUUCGAAUGGAUAGGAUAAAAUAUGAUAGAGAUGUUGCGAAAAUAGAAGAAUUUAGCAACUUAGAGGCAAGUUGUGAGAUGUAAGACUCUCGGAUUAUCAAAUUGGAUAAUCUUGUUUCGAUGGGAUUAUUGAGUCUCAUCUGAGAGGUUGGGAUUGAACUAGGUCGGAUCAAACCCUUCUCCGUCGUGGCUCCUGAUGCCUUCGAGUUGUUAAAAUCGCUUCUAAUUAGGUCUCUUAAGGUUAGUUAUUUGCAUCUCCGAUGGCUAAUAAGUAGAAAUAACAUGUUAGGGAACUAGAAAAUCGAAGUUUGUGAGCAAUAAUGUCCUCAUCCCAGGUCAUUGUCAAUAAUGGUUGGUGCAAUGCAUACUUAUCAAUUAUUUAAACUACAAUGCAGUAUGAGUUUUUUAGGCAAUAAAAGCUUGUUUAGAUUUUUCCAGUUCAGUGAGGACAAAAUAUUGUAUUGAAAGCAGGUAAUUAAAAUUUUGUGUCCAUUUUUUUAUUACUUUUUCUUUGUUUUCCUUGUUGUAUUCAAUUAGGCGACUAGCCCUUGUACACUUCAAUAGAAUUGGUCUAUCAGUUACUAUCAACAAGUGCCCCACUUAUGUUUAAAGAAAAGCCUAAAAUUGGAGAGAAGCGAUUCUGAACACUAGCCUCUAUGCUUGGGCACAAAUUAGAGCAUGGAGAGUAAAGCCAUCAUAGUAACAUAGGUUGCUUUCAAUAAGCAUUUCAGACAAUGUGUGUUUGCCCUUUUUCAUUGAACUUCGAUGUAAAAUAGGUUCACAAGGGCUUCUGUUUAGUAUCUAAUAAGAUUUUUCAUUGAACUCACACGUUGACACAUUUUAGGAAAAAGUUAUUAGAUUAGACUAAGGCUUUGCGAUGAGUUCAACAUGUUAAACCCCGAUUAAGGUUUCAAAAUAACUCUGUUUCUCUAUAGUUUAACAGUUAGCUAGAUUUGUAGUUCACUAAUGAGAGACAGAGAAGUAAAUGGAGAUUAGGUUCGCUUAUUGCUGAUUUUUAAUCGGAUAGAGAAAUCACUAUUGUAAGUUGACAUAAUUGGUAGGUAGAUCGGAAAGAAAAGCAAGCAUAAGAUGCUGAUAUGCUUACUGCAAUGUCACUGCUUGACAAAUAUAUAAAUACUUGAUUAUUUUCUCUGCUAUGUCACAGCUGUUCUAUGAAUGUAAGUAUUUAGAUUUAGCUUUCAUGUUCCUGUCUCUUUUAAUAACAUAAGUUUAAGAAUUUUGAUUGAAGGUGACUCUAGCGGGAGUAAUGAACUUCAUAUGAAUGUAAACCACGCUCUUCUUCACAUCCUUGUACUAGUGAGGACUUUUGAAUGGCCAGCUCUGAGAACAUGUGUACCACUUUAAUAUUACCUAGUCCGGUGGAUGACUUAAUUAUAGACUCAUUAUAUCAGUUUUCAUUUUGAUAGCUCUGAGAUUGGAUAAAAUCACUAUAUAUAUUGAAACAUUCUGACCAUAACAUUGAAUUUCAGGAUCAUAGUAGCAAUUGUGACAGUCAUCGAGAAACUUGCAGACACAGUUGUUUCAUGGUAAUGAGUAACAAUAAUUCAACUUCUUAAUGCUCGUUUUCUCUCAUCAAAAGCAUUACCGUUAUGUUCCCCUUAUUUUCUAUGAAAGGGUGCCGAUGUAUGGAGAGGUGAAGCUCGCCUUCUUUGUGUACUUAUGGUAUCCAAAGACAAAGGUAACCCCAGCUAAACUCGACCAUAGACCGAGCAUGCAUCGACCAACUUACUGAUUUUAAUGCGAUUCCUUUUUUCCAUCAGGGAUCUGAUCUGGUCUACGAGACGUUCCUGCGACCAUUGGUGAUGCAGUACGAACCAGACAUUGAGCAGAGACUGCGGCAUUUGAGGGCUAAGUCAGGGCAGCUCAUCAUGUUCUACAUUAAGAAUUUCAGCGACAAAGGAACCACUCUCUUCCUCGAGGCACUCAACUAUGUGGUCUCUCAGGGUUCGCGAGUUUCGCGCUCUGAGGUAAUUUUAAUUUCAAUUUUUAAAUCCCUGCUGGUUAGUUUGCUUCUGAACUAGCAUGCGCAAUUUAUGUAGCGUAAGAUAGGUGUGCAUGGACCAAACUAAAUGGUUAGAUUAGAUCUGAUUCUUCUUUGUUUUCCAUAGGAAAAGAUUUUACGAUAAACUAACUGCAAUUGAAACAGAGAGUUUGGCUACUAAGGAUAUAUAUCGAAAAACAUUGUUUUAUUACUAAAGCUGCUUCUGUAAUGUAGAUUCCCAAGUUCAAAAUUUAAUAACAUCCAUGUGAGUUCAAAAGCAAAGAAACCGUUGUAGCGGUUGCUGCGCAUGAAUAGAAUGCUGUGAGCCAAAAACUUGUACUUGCUCUCUACUAACUUCACAUAUGCUGCUGCAUCUCAAUCUCACAGAGCUUCUUCUCAAGGAGCAAACGGUCGGCAUCGAGCCCCGUGGCGACCAAGCACUCAUCGACGGCCUACGACACACUGGGCUCCACAGCCGACGAUGUGGCCGCCGCCGAUCCCCACGCCGGCCGUCCCAAACAACGGCGACCGCCAUACAAGUAUUAGAAAAAAGAUUACAAAAAUCUACUAAAGUGAAAAAAAAAGAAAAAAAAGAAAAAAAAAGAAGAAGAUAGUAGAAGAUUGAAACCAAUGUGAAUACCGAGAUAGUAAUGCCACAGAUGAACUGCAGUUUGUUCAGUUACUGUUCUUCGCUCUCUUUCUUUUUUUGCUUGGAUAUGUAUCACGACUUGUUAGAGUUCCAAUGUUGUGAAAUUCGAAAUAAAAUUAAAUUAAAUGUGCGAAAUUAGUAGGAUAAAAUGCAUGUAUAGUGUCCAUAAUGUCCGAAUGACGUGAUAUAUAUAGAUUUUACAUUACGUAUUAAUCUCCUCCGGCUACAAGAUCGAGUACAGGGACUAUACAUUCAUUGAAUGGCCGCGGAAGCAGCCGAAGCAGCGGAGUGGAUCCAUAGCGCAGCCACGGAAGAGGAGCGGAAGGGCGGCGAAGAAGCGGCGGACGAGGCUCCGGCCGCGACCGCAGCAGCGACGGCGGGGAGGAUGCGGCGGCAAGAGCUGGAGGUAUGUGCGGGCGGCGUGCUUCACGAGGGGGUCCCGUAUCGCCAUCCUUCCUGCAGAGGCGGCGGCCGCGGCAUACUCUGGCGAUCCGACGAUGUCGCGGAGGCUGACGUAGCCCUCCUCGGAGUUGCACCGCCGGAGCUCGAAUCUGUUGUCACCGCCGUAGGCCGUGGGGAAGCGAAGCGGCCUCGGCAUUGCGUCGUCGUGGCCGCCGCACAUGCAGCAGAGCCGCGGCGGUUCCCGGUGCCUUGUGUCUAGCAUUGUAGAGAGAGAGAGAGAGAGAGAGGUGGAAAGAGUUUACGUAGGAAGAGUUUCGUACGUAUAUAAUGUAUGUAGUUUGGUAUAGUAUGCAUGUAUAUAUAUAUAUGUGACGAGAUUAGAUAAAGGGAGUAGUAGUAGUAUAUCUAAAGUUGGAGAAGUACUAAACUUGUCCUACGUUUUAGGAGGAGAUAAUAUGUUUAUAGAUAAUUCUUUCACUAAGAUAUUGAGUAAGAAUCCUAAUAUGUUUAGGGAGGGACUAGAAUUGUCAAAUUAAGAGAUUAGUUUCGGAUUAGGUAUGUUAACAAAGAAUUUUUUAAAAAAAUUUAAUUUUUAAUAUUUAAAAAUAAUUUGAUAAAAAUAUAAAAUUUAUUAUAUUCUAUAUGUAGGUGUAAAGAUAAUAUUGCUUAUUAAAUUAUUCAAGGAUCUGUAGCUAAAAAACGAUUUUUGUUAAUAUACGUGGCAGCUUGCGCUGGUGCCACGUGUCUCUUCCUCUUGCCUCACAGAUCAUGGAGGGCCCAGGUCCCUCCCAAUACUUUUAGGCCCAAGAAGGCCCAAGACCCAAUUCCACUCCAAAACCAAACGUACACCCUUACGUCCUCCACAUCCACACGUCCAUUUCUCACCAUCAGAGCCAAAAACGCCAAAUCUCCACCGCACGAUUCAUGGGCCGAGAACACACGGCCCAGUUACGAUCCACGUGGCCCACUAUAAAUCCCCCCCAAAUCCUAUCGUCUUCUUCGUCUCUCUCUCUCUCUCUCUCUCUCUCUCUCUCUUCAAUGGCCGCAGCGGCUCUGUUACUCUCCACGCUCCCGCCCACGAAACGCGACCAACUCCUCCAAACCCAACUCAAACCCUCGCUCCCCACCGUCCGUCCACCCCGGAGCCGCUUUAAGAUUCGGGCCGUGCAGGAAACGAAAGAGGAGUUGAAGAGCUCCUCCUCGUCGCCCGAGGAGAUCACCGAGAAGUACGGGCUCGAAUUUGGGCUGUGGAAGGUAUUAUUACGAAAUUUGGAAAAAAAUAUAGAAUUAUUGUGCACUAGUUAUUUAAUUAGUUUAGUACGCGGUAUUUCAUGUUCUUAAUCCGUAUUAUCCCUUUCGUUAUAUUGUUUUUGUAGUAAAAUUUGUUUGAUUUGAUUUAUCCAAAGCUGUUUUAAAAUUCAAAAUUUGAAUGUUUUAUUUAUCCUCCUUAUAAAUUAUGUAGUUUUUAAAAUAAAAAAUUUAUUAAAAUAAAUAAUUAGUUUAAAUAUUGAAGUUAAAUUUUUUUUUGUGAUGGAUUAAAAUUAAACGAAUUGAAUGGGUAGAUAGUAAAAUCAAAAUUUUAAAAAAUUGUAUUGUCGAUUCAAAAUAAUUCAGAUAAUGUACAUUUGCUCCCAUGGUUAUUAGCGCACAUGUUAGGAACUUGUGAUUUAUCUAAUUUUUAUGGUGCACUUGAACGAAUGUGUUAGAAAAAUAAAAAUAAAAAUAAAAAUAAAAAAUUAUGCACCAACUUUUUCGGCGAUUAUAUUGUCUAGUUCAAACUUCAAGCUGCUUUGAAAUUCGAGCACCGUUACAGUAGAGUCACCAUAUAUACUCGUCUUUUUCUGUAAAAUGUUAUUUAUUGUUUCCUACUAAAUUGAUCUUUUUUGGUAGUAGUAGUAAUUAAAUAUUUUGCGAAUACAAUUGUUUGUGAAAAUGUGGAUUUGGUGUCUUUUUGGGUUGUAGAUAUUUAGUUCUAAGGAGAGAGGAGGAGGAGGAGGAGAUGGAGAAGGGAAAGAGAAGUCCAAAGGGGAUCAAGCAAAGGAACUUUUAGCUAAGUAUGGGGGAGCUUAUUUGGCUACUUCAAUAACCCUCUCUCUUAUCUCUUUCGCCCUCUGCUACAUUUUGAUUAGUGCUGGGAUUGAUGUGCAAGCCCUGCUAAAUAAGGUAUGUAAUAAUAUGGAGCUGAUUCUUUAGGUUUUGUUUGAGAUUAUUCUUUUUCUAUUUAUUUUUUUAAGGUAAAAUUAAUGGAUGGAGAUCCUACAAGUAGACCUCUAUGUCUAUAUAUAUAUAUAUAUAUAUAUUUUUUGAAGUUACCAUUUUUCAGCUUAUGUUUAUUUUGAAUUGAGUUACUUAGCGUCGAGGAAUCGAAAAUUUUUAUUGAAUUUAGUGACGAUUCAUUUAAUUUAAUGAUCUUGUCCCUUUCAACUAACAAGAAUAUCUGAUGAAAACAAGUUUAAGUUGGAACGAGCAAAACCUCAGGAAGGAUCUCAAUACAUUUUGAUCUUUUCGCUACAAGGUGAAGGGGAUAUGUAUUUAACAGUAAGGCUUUCCAAUGUUGCUUGAGGCAGGUCGGAAUUGUGACGGACGAGACCGGAGGGAAGGUGGGGACGUUUGCGUUGGCCUACGCUGCGCACAAGGCGGCGUCGCCGAUCAGGUUCCCUCCGACAGUGGCGCUCACUCCGAUCGUCGCGAGUUGGAUCGGAAAGAAGAGAGCCAAAUCAGAGGAGAAGUGAUCACUGAUUACUUCUCUCUCUCGAUGUGCACUUGAAACGCCACCCAUUUUGAUCUCCUUGCUCGCCUUCUUUUCCUUGUGUGUUUAUAUGUGAAGUAGAGAUUUUAUGAGUAGACAUGUAGAUUCAUGUUAUGUUUUGUGUUGUGUAUAUUAACAAGAUGAAUAGAUAUUACUUUUACUAACAUACUGAACUCUGAAGAUUCAUUUUCCGACAAAAAUUCGCCAAUUGAUAUUCGGAGAAGUUGAUUUCUAGCAAAAGAUUUGUCACCAAAAUUAUGUAGACGACUCAUUAGUCAUUAUUGCCUAUGCUUUAAUGCAAACCCUCCAACAGCAAAAUGAAAUCCAAGUUUUCAAUAGUCCGUAAGUAGAAAACAUCAUAACAAACUUUGCGAUGUCUAAUACCUCAAGAUUAAAGCCAGGGACCAAAGUGAAACUCAGACCUGUUGGUGUUUUAUGAUUGACAACGCAAUAGCUAUAGAUCACAUACGUUUUAUAGUUCAUCAUAACUCUCACAAGCAACGGAUACAUUGGAUUUCAAAUAUUUGUAGUUCAAUAACAGGAGAAACAUCAUAUUUUCUGAAAAAAUAUAUCUAUAUGGCCCAUCAAUUUACUUGAUAUGUAGAAUAAGUAGCUAAAAACCAUUCUCAUGUUCGAGUUAUUUAGAUCACGCAACUCGCUGAGGAUGAGUCUGCCUUCCAGAUUUCAAGAACUCAAAAAAGGAUGCUCCAUAUUCGCUUUCUCCAUGCCGCUUAUGCCACUCUUCGGUAUAUAAUUUCCGACCCAAAGUUGUUGCACUUAAAAGAGAUAUACAACAUCUAUCAUGCAACAUCCCCCUCAUCUUAAGUACUAUGUUGUUGCUUCGGACAAUCAUUUGCUUGUUUACUUAUGUGUCAUUUAGUUUUAGUGAACUUGAUGAACACUUCAUUCCUCCAAUUAAAAAAAGAAAGCAGCAGCUCUGAUUUUUACCUACAGUAUUCAGCUUGAACAAUCUCCGCGUUUAUCUUUGUGUUGCAUCUGUAUUGGAGGGGGCGUCAAUUACGCCAGACUCUUGCUGAUUUUGGGGCCGGGGUGUACUAACCUCGCCUGCGAAGUACUCGUCCAUGCUGAAUCUAUCUAUCUCAUCAAUUUGCUGUUCAGCUGUUGAUUCGAGUCAAGUACUCACGGUUGCAUGCACAAAAACUAAAAUAAUAUGUAGAAGGUUAAAAUGUCGACGAUCCUCCUAAACAUAUCACAAUUUGUCACGAUUUGCACUCCCCCCUCUCUGUAUUCACAAGGGAUUAAACUGCUAGCAUUUAUAAAAUGUAAGGGUUUAUUUCUAGGUUUUGAUUGUUGAGAGGGGUACAGGGCAGAUUGCAAUACAUUCAAGAGGUUAUCUGCAUUUUAACCUUGGUAGAAAGCAUAGAAUGAAGAAAAUGAUGAUGAAUGUCUUGAAGGAUACGUGCUGUUUUCCAUAUCUCAGUAAUGCUAGCCACAGAAUCCGAUAAAAGCCAGUAGUCAGCAUCGGUCUGCAAUUUAAUGAAACAAAUCAUUAUAAGAAUAUGUUUACACCAGUACUAAGCGGCUAUAUCCCAGGAAAAUUAUUUGCAUGAUGAAGCAUGUGCAACACCUCAAUUCAAUGCAACUUUUGGAUUGCAGUUUAGACAAAUUUAUUUGUAAUGAAAAUUUACUACUACUGGAUGAAGAUCUAUCAGAAGCAUGUUCUUGAGGCUAGAGCAAACUCUUAAAAUAGAGGUGAUGAAAUGCGACAAUCCUUCCUAAGUGAUAAUUGUUACUCAUAGUAUACAGGGAAUGUGUGCGCCAACCAACGAGAUAAUAGGAGUAAAUUACACAAUUGGAUAUGUUCACCAACCAACAAAAUAUUAGGAGUAAAUUACACAAUUGAUCACCGAACUCAUCAUGCGAUGCAAUUUAAUUUAGGUCGUUGAACUUUCUUUUGUUGCAAUUAAGUCAGUGAACUUCAAUUUCUAUUGAAUAGGGCCACUUCUUCCACCUAAGUUUAAUUUCUCAAAAAUAUAUAUAUAUAUAUAUAAUAGAGCGAUGACUGAGAGGCUGAUUUGAUAAUAGUGGUAUCUCAAAAGGAUAAUGCAGAGAUCAUGUUGCCAAGAAUUUAAUUGCCAUGUCAUCUCAAGGCUAUUUAAUUUACCCUCCACAUUAUCUUCGAUAAAUAACAAUCAGCUAAAUCAGCAUCAUUUCAACUCUUUGAUACGACAUGGUAGCUGAAUCCAUAUCCAAAUCAUCCAUCCCUCAGAGGAUUUUAUCGGAGUAUGAUAGAGUGACCUUGUUGAAAUAAAAACUGAAGUUCAGUUACGUAAUAGCAAUAAAUUAAACUUCCGCUACCUAAAUGAGACUUUACAGUAAGUUCCAUGACCAAUGGUGUCUCAAACAUUGAAUGAUACCACAACGAAUCGUGAGUGAUCGGUGGAAUACUCUUUGACAAUUUGCACUGUAGAAAAGAACUUACAUCAUCAUCUGAAGGAACAAUCUUUGUCAUUCCUCCCAGAUAAUCCUGUGAGGCAUUUAUGUCCAGGGCAAUCCUCUGACCAUCUUGAACAUUUAGUUCUGUCUCCUUACCUCUGCUACUCUCUGCAGCUACCACUGCUUUACAGCUUUCAGCAGGCCUUGAAUUUGGCAUCUGCGUAUUCCUUGGGGGAGUCUCCACACCACUCAUCUCCUCAAACUUCUCCUCAAAUUGACUGAAAAUAGUAAAAAGAUGGAGCUCAAAAGGUGAAAACAAACAAUACAAUUCAGAAUGAACGACGUAGUAAAUUUCCCAUUAGAAAUUAUUUACAGCAUUUGAGGAGAAGAAGACCGCAUUACCUAACAAGGUAAACAUCUAUUGGACCCAUAGUACUUCUUAGGACAAUUCUGUAUCUUCUCUGCAAAUAGUCACCAGCCUGCAUGCAGAGGGAGGAUAAAUUCCAAACGGCUCAAAUUGUCACAAUAGUGAAGUACAAUAAGCAUUGUUAUGAUACUUUAAAUCUUCUGCAAUGUUUCAACUCUCACUUCACUCUUACCUCGUCAGGAUCCGGGACUUCCAGCGUAGUGCCAUGAGGUGCUUUUAUUGCAAUUAGGGUUUCAUUCUGCAAUUAAGUAAAGGAGAUAUCGAUCCUUGUACUACUUUAUUGCGGUGAAAACUUGAUUCUACUAGAAAUUAUGGUAGAUCGAAUAAGAUUAACCAUACCUGAAAGCAGGGCAGUCCUUUAAUGUCAUCCUCCGUGACAUAAAGCCACCUAUAUGUAUGGAUGAUAUUGGAAAUUCAAAGUAAGCAUGAUUCGCUAACUGAAAUAACUUAGCACAAAUACAAGCAUGAAAAAUACAAUUAUUUUUCUUCUCAGAAGGAAAAAUAGGAAACACAAUUACUUUUGAUUAUUAUCGUCUUCUGUGAGCUCCCUUAACUUCUCUCGCAUUUCACUGCACAGAACCUAAUGUUUCAGAGGAUUACCGUACAAAGCAAAGAAAACAACAGUUCUACAGGUUUUGACCAAUGGCCAACCUUAUGCGCUCAUCUACGUUCUGCUCCUGCAAGGUAAGAUUUUCAACUUCCUCCUGAGAAAAAAAAAGAACAAAACAAAAAAAAAGCUAAGAACUUAGUUUUAGCCAUUCUCUUUCAGGCAAAAGUUAUAAAUAAAACAAACAGGUUAGCUCUUCAGAAAAGUGGUUAAAGAAUAAUGACUUUGACAACAGACAAAAGGAAAAAAUUGCACAGAAGCACUAUACCUGUAAUAUUGAGAAAUCAUUGUUAACUUCUGGUCUUGAGUCAUCUAGCCCCCUGGGAGUAAUAAAUUUUUAACUGUUAAAAGGACAAGCAGAAAGGAGGAAAUAUCGGCGAUAUAAAAGAUAAAAAAGUAAAAUUACUUCCAACGGAUUCUGUUCUUGAGUUUCUUUUCAAUCAGCCCGAUCCCUUCAAGAACAUUUGUUAUGUCAUAUAUUCGCCUCUUUUGCACCUGAAAGAUCCGAAGUAAUUGACUAAACUUUGCCGAAAGAAUAGCAUUUCACAUAACUAUGUUAGUAAUGACCAGCUAACCUCCAAUGUCUCUGCAGCUUUAUUCAAAUCAAGGAUGCCAUCUUGUGCAUGCUUAAGCAAAUUGAUGAACUUUUUUGUCAAUAGUCCUACAAAGCAUUACAAUGUAAAAUUAAGUAUGACAAGACAGUAAAUCUUCAUAUAGGCUCUUCAUCUCUAGAGCUGCUGAACUUUCCCAGAGUCGAAGAUACACUACAACUGAUUGGAGUCAUAAGGCUAAGAGUGUUGUAGUUACCUAGAGAGCUGUCAUAACGACAGGUACCGACUGGUGUGAGAGGAUUGCUAGAAGGGGAACCUGGAAAGACAAAAAGAUACAGCUUUUAGUCUAACAUAAAGCGCGCACACACACACACACACACACACACACACACAACCUAUAUACUCUGCAAAAUUAUCUCGUUAUUGAUAUAUCCUUGCAAAAAUUGAGCGUCUUUGUGCCCUUCAGAAACUUAAAGUUCACAUAUUAAAGCUUAAAUUCUAGACAUAUCAGAACUUAAAUUCUACAUAUGUUUCCAGUACUGACAAAAAUGCACCCAUUCAAAAAAAAAUUUGUUAGUAGAAACCAACCUUUUCAAGUGAAUUGUAUCCUUCCCACCUUCACAUGGGAGUAUUUUUUUCCAAGAAACUACACAUUUGAGGAGUCUAUACAGAUAUUAAAAUUUUACUAGGGUAUACAUGUAAAAGAUGAUUUUACAUGGAUAAACAUAUGUAAAAGCUCAUAAAGCAAGCAGGAGCUGUUUAACAAAUAAGCCUUUCCUCAUAAAAAAAGACAGAAGUGAUAAAUAAAGAUCAGAAGGCCAGUAUUCACCAGCAUUUGACAUAGGGGUAUGAGGCCCAGCUUUAUUGUAUUUUGGAGCCUUUGACUUGCCAUGCACUCUACCACCUUUUCCAGAUACUGGAGUAAGAAGUGGACUGCUAACUGCUUCAGCAUAUCCUGGACUAGUUGUCCACUCACUCGAUUCAGCAGCUUCAUUUUCUUCCUGAUCAGCUUUUCGUUUCAACUGCACAGAAAAGAUCAUCACCAAGAGCAAUAUGGUCAGUAAGACAUCUAUGUAUGUGUUUCAGUAGGGGUUAUAUACGUUCAAUCUCUGCCAACAAUAAGGAUCUGAUUGUUAUAUAACUUUAAAGCACCAGUAUAGCACAACCACACACAGCCUUAGACCACAGGCUGGGAGAAUGAUUGAGGCCAUCUACUUACCACAAAAAGUUCCAGAAAAAUGAGAAAAGAAGCAAGAGCAGUCAUCAAACUUUCUCAUUGACCAGAAAAAACCAUAGUAAAUAUAGCAGGAGUCCGCCAUUUUGGUGACAACCCACCACAAAAAAGACUACUAAAUUUCAACAUUAACAGCGACAUAAAGAAAAUAUUUAUAAAUCCUGUUCAGUUCAAAAAAAAAAAAUCCAGUAGCUUAGUGUACAUCUAGUAAGGUAAAACUUCUGAGUUACAUCUUUCACAUGAUUUCAGUUAAAUUCCAGAUUACACUGUGAUGGACACCGAAAAAUUAAUAAAAACAUGUCUGAUCCAAGGCAUCCCCUUGCAUUCAAACUUCUAUGAUGAUUAAACAAAUCUUUAUUCUUUUUCGAAUGAGUCAUAUAACAUGAGGUAUAAGACAAUUCUAAAGAAGAAACGGCUAAAUUGGUUAUGAGAACACAUGCGCAAAUUUUGCUUAUAAUGAUCUUUCAACCUAGAAGGAGAGCAGUGCAAUAUGGUUGCGACAUUCCAAACGGUUCCUCUCAAUAAAGUGAUCUGCACUCUGAUUUACUAGAUAUGAAAUGCACAUUUUUCACACAAACCUAGAUAAUAAUGAUAAUAAUGGAUCUAACUGUCAACACACACACACACACACACACAUAUACAUACAUACAUACAUACAUACAUAUAUAUAUAUAUAUAUAUAUAUAGAGAGAGAGAGAGAGAGAGAGAGAGAGAGAGAGAGAUAACUCAUAGAGUUUACAUUGUAGGAAGAAGAAUGUAGAUCCAUUACCUUUAAAAUCCAAACCUCUAAUUUCAAUUCCUUUCAACUCAUAAAAGCCAUCACCACAGGCAACCACUGAUUAACAUACACCAUGGCUUGAAUCCGAACUAGCAAACAACUAGAGAAAUAUUUCUCCACCAAUCAACUCUACGGGUGGCAUGACCUUUCUCUGUCAGGAGCCAUGGCCUCUACAGAAGUAGUUACAUGUGCAACUUCAAGAGAAACCACAUGUUCAACUAUAUACAAGUUAGCAUGCUUUUCUGCUGAAGUGUCAUAAUAUGUGUAGAGAAUCACAAAUUUGAUAAGAAAUCAAGAAAAUCAAACAGGUUAUCCCAAAUUAUUAGUGGAAACUGUUAUGAUCACUUAGUGGAGACAAGAAGAGAAAAGCUGUGCAGCAAAAAGUAUACGACCUUGGAGUGGCAUUAUGAGAGCGAAAAAGGGAUCUGGAAAAGGGCUUUGACAGAAGGAAAAAAAAAAAAAAUUACUGCAGAACGGAAGUAGGUAAGUAACUUAGAACUCUUUCCCCUCAAUAAAUAACCUAUCAAAUAGCUUGUCCUAGUGUUAUCGUCCUUUAGGCUGCCGAGCAUCAACUGAUUAACCUAAAAAAGAAAGAUCCGACCUAAGCAAAAUCCUCAAUUUAGUAUCCCAGUAAACAAUCGCGAGAUCCUACCAUUGAGCUUAGCUCCCAACACUGUAGAAGCCCUUUGAUUUAGGCUGAUAAAAUCACUAACAAGCAAAAGAUCCGUAAAUGGAAGAGAGACAUUUUAGCUCAUCUCCAACAGCAGCAAAAAAAUUAGGAUCUAGAAAGGGCAACAAAAGAUACGGCAAAAAACAGCACAAACACUUCGAAACCAAAAGCCGACCCUUCAAACCAAGCAAUUUCUCACCAAAGCAACCAUUUCUACUACCAUCGAACGAUAAAAUAAGCAUCGGAAAGAGCUAAACCACACAAACCCUCAAUCAAACGAGAUCGUGUCUCCAGUCUUAGCACAACAGACUAAAACGCACAAGCCACGACACGGAACUCACGGGAGUCUUAAUAACCACGGCCUCGGCCAUGUCGUCGGCGGCGGCGGCGACGCGGCGGCCAUCGGCGGCGGAGAAGCGGUGGUACUCGUCCGGCGCAGGGAACGGCGGCCUGGCCGACGGGAACGGGAGGUGCCGCCGCAGCGGCUGGAAGAUCUUCUGCCCCGAUUGCUGGUUCCCAGCUGCUCGGCCCCCACCGGACAUCAAAUCCGAGCAAUCGAGACCCAAAAUCUCACCUGGAACCCCCCGAUCUUCCGAUCGAGCCCCAAAAACCCGAUCAAAACCCCGAUCGAUGGCGAAAUCCGGGGCCCAAACCCUCGAUUCGGAUCGGAAUCGGCGUGGGAUCCGCGGAGGAGCUCCGAUCGGGGAAGGGGAUCUCGGGGGGGCGUCGCCGCCGCGCGGGGAUCGGCGGCGGAGGCUAGGGUUUCGAUCCGGGAUCUGGGGAUUUUGGGGGAGGAGGAGGAGGAAGAGGAGAGAGAGGCGAAGAGGAGUGAGGAGGUUAAAAAAGCGGAGAGAGCAGAAAACGAGGGAAGGGAGGGAAAUUAUAGUUCGGACUUCGGAUAGAUAUGGAGGGAAGGGGCGUGCGAGUGUAAUAUUAGAAAUAAAUAAAUUAAAAAAAAAAACAAUUAUAUAUUAAAAAUGGCGGAAAAACGAAAUUAGAAAUUUCCCCCGUAAAUUAACGAACCACGCUACGUGGUCGCCGGCGAUUGGACGACGAUGACAUUAAGAAAUGUUGGGGGGGAUUUUUUUUUCUUUUUUUCGUUCGAGGGGUUUUUAUUUAUUUAUUUAUUUUCUGUCGGAUGCUAAAUAUUAACGGGUCGGAUCCUCCGACCUGUGACCCGGACUGGAGACCAACCGCUCAAAUCGCUCGGCUUAUGGGGUUCGAAUCGCCGAUGCCCGCGCUUUGGAUCGUCGUUUGCUCACGAUUUUUUUGGAGGAAACCCUAAUACCCGCGGAAAUGUCACAUGAACCCGGUGUACCCGUACAUUUAUUAUAGUAUACUAUUAAUAAAUCUCUAUCAAAAAUGCCUAAAAGAUUUAGAGUUUAAUUACAUUUCAUAAUAUCAAAAAUUUAUAAACUAUAAAUUUUAGAUUUUAAAUAUAUUUUUAAAAAAAUUGUACUGUACAUUCCCGACUUUCGGGAGUCAUAAUUAGCAUGCUAAAAUCAGAAAGAAUAUUUUUUUUCUUUUCAAAUUUAACAUUUUUUUUUAUAAUAUAAUUUUUUUUUUACGAUUAUGUUAUAAUUUUUGAAACAAUGCCCAUGGAAUGACACUCUUGAUCAUAACUUUUAUUUAAAAUUGCAGAUAAAAUAAAUUAUAUGCAAUAGAAAAGGCACAAUUAAAAAUUAUUCAAUUUUUUUUUUUACAAAUAAUAACAUAUUACACAAAUCAUACCAAUUCAUUUAAAAUUAAUUUUUACGAUGUGAUAAAAAGCUGAGUAACAUAUCUCUAUAUAUGAUUUCGCUCCAACAUUUUUGUGCUAAUAGUGGUUGAUAGUUCUUAUAGUAUCAAAUUAAUCCUUGAUACACUAAAUAUUUAUUGCGGCCUAUUCGAUUUUGAUACACGCGGUGCAUGGAAUAUUUUUUUAAUGGGGGAGUGGGCCCAGGGCUCGCCCACGCCGUCGGAUUUGGCGGGCGCUUUUCGCCCUCGUCGGGUCGGGGGGCACGUGCGGCGACGCGCCACGUUCUCGGUGUCACGUGACCGUGGGGGUGUUAACUCGCAAUUGGACCGCACUGUACGCACGGAUGGUUUCUGCGGCCAUCGUAACUCCGUGACCGUAUGUUGUCGUUUUUUGGCCGCAUAAUUGCUCGGAUCCGACCCAAUGCUGGUCCGGACCACAUUUAGCAAUUUGCUCAAUUUGCCCCAUAAUGGUCCGGACCAGUACUGUAUUUGUUCGUACAUUACGUAAUUUUUAAGUUUACUCGUAUGGUUAAAAAAAAAAAUAGGACAUAAGAAAUGGAAAUGUCAAAAAAAUUUUGGAUUCGUAAAUUCAUGUAUGGUAAAAAUCUCACUUAUUUUUGCUUAGUUUAACAUAAUACUAGUAGCAUUGGAAUUAAAUAGAAAUUGUAGCAUUGCUUUGUUUUAAUGUAACUCGUACAACAAUAGUUCUAUACAUAUUCUAUAAGCGAAAGUGAUUUUCACCAAUUGGUUUUUUUUAUAUUAUUUUUUAUUACUUUUUAUCCUGUGUAAAGAACUUUGGAACAUUUAUAAUAAAUCAACAUAAAAAGGANGAAAUAGAUAGCACGCUACCCGCUUCGUUUAUUUUAUUUAAAAAUAAACUUAACUGAAAAUGUGGAUCAACUAGGAUUCGAACUUGGGUUUCGGGUACUAACCACCAAGCCCUUUGCCACUUGUUCUAGGAACGGUCGGUGAGAAAGGAUUAUUAACUUGAUGAAAAUUGACUUUUCCUAUAAACUUCAUUUUCUCAUUUGUUUUUUGAGACAAAAUUUCUCAAAAACCUUCUUAUGAACUCCAUUUCUCAAAACUGCAAUGGCACUAAAUGUGAUUUGAAAGUAUUUAUGCUGCGCAACCUCUUCCAAUAUUUUAGUUCUGUUGGGCCAAUAAGGUGCGGACACGUGGUACACCGGUACUCCACUCAACUUUAUUUAAGAAUAGUAAUGUUGUAGUGCACCAGGAGCAGCGGAAGAAUUUUUAAACAAACCACUGUGCAAAUUAAGGGAAGUUACAGUAACCGCGAGCAAUUACAAGCGGUUCCGAUCGGCUGAAAAUAGCCCGAGAAAAUAGGGGUAGUGGCCGAUCAUGAAUAUACAAUAACUGAUUAACAAGGGCGAUCUAUAAAUAGGCCAAUAACACCUUAAAAAAGAGUCUUUUCUCCGUAAACAGAAGACCAUCUUUAUUUUCUUUACAAUUUCUUCGCAUUUCUUAUGAGUAGUUUACUUGUAACAUUUUACUUUCCAGCCUUUAUUGUUUUUCUCUAGGAGUAGAAGUAAACUAAAUCAACCGAGUCUGUAUGUCCUCAGGCACACUCGAUCCAUGUACUCUUCCUCAAGUUAAUUUCAAAGAUAUUUAAAGUUUUUUGGCUUUUUAAGGUGAUCAAUCACUGUGUUUUCAUCCAUUCGGCUCUUUGGCCAACCCUAGUUUUUGUGCAAUCCAUAUAUUCGGCUCAUCCAGUCGAACCGAUUCCAUAGUAGAGGUUUUGAAACUCGGCUGAUUCGAUCCUUCAACAGCCAAAUCGCUUGAUCUAGUCGAUGGACGCAAACUUCGAGGGUCAUUAAUCAUAGUCGUUCCGCACCCUGCAUCAUUUCCGAGGGAGAUCUUUGACCAGGUCAAAGAUCAGAACGUACGGCUACCAACAAGUUCAAAUUACUUCAUAUGUAUUUCAAUCACACAAACUAAAUACAUACAAAAUUAUCUAACAAGUUUAGCAAUUCUAACCCAAAAAAUAUAUAUAUAAAUUUUAUAGGAAUUCCAAUACGAGUGACUAAUGAGCAAAUAACAUGUAAUGGGUCAACCCGCUAGCAAUAAUAAUUCGUUAGGUACAAACCACUGAUUCAAAAUGCCUUUUUUUUUUUUUGAGAAAAAAUGCCUAUUAUUACUAGCAUGUAUACCGCAUAUAUUUUAAUGAGAAUUACUUUUCCACCCGAUGUAUGCCUCAUAUAUUUUAAUGAGAAUUAUUUUUCCACCCGAUAUGGUAGACUUGACCAGAAUUACCAGUCGAUAUGAGAUUCUAGAGGUGGCUCCUCCAACUAACAUUCGGCUUUGAUACUAAUUGUAACGGCCCGACCCGCUAACAAUAAUAACUCGUUGAACCCAAACCACCGGCCCAAAAUGGUAAAACCUGGUUAUUAUUGCUCGUAGGCUUCAUAUAUUCCAAUUAGAAUUAUUUUCACAUUCGAUGUGGGAUUAGAUCACAAAUACAUACCAGAAUUGUAAGGCAAUGUGAGAUUCUAGAGGUGGAUCUUACGGGUUCAAGUUGGGUCCAAACUAUAUCACAGAAACUGGUCAGAAUUACCAGACAAUGUGAGAUUUUAGAGAUGGCUCCCACGGUUUAAGAGGUGACUCCUCCAGCUAGUAUCCGACUUUAAUACGAAUUGUAAACAACAUGACCCGCUAGCAAUAAUAACUCGUUGGAUCCAAACCACCGGACCAAAAUACUUAAGCCCGAUUAUUAUUAAUUGCGUGUAGGUCUCGUAUAUUCUAAUUGUUAUGAUUAUUUACGGGAAAAAAGUAUAGAAUAGUAGUUUUUUUUUUUUACUUAUGUUGCAACUGAUGUAGCCCUACAAAAGUUAUUCUAAACUUACUAUUUAAUCUAAUUAUUUUUUGACAAUACAUCCUAUUGCUUUUUCUAAUGUAUAAAAUAGCCCAAUUAUGAUUCCAAAAAGAGCAUGCUAAAGAUUAAUGCUUCUUCAUUCAGCAAAUGUAGCAAAUAUAUAAUCAAAAUCAAAAAAUAAAAAUCCCUACCAUUUAAAUUUGGACCCGUAUAAUACGUUGUACGGUAAAGUGUAAAGCCAUUGUUUACGCUAUACGUACGAAUAUACGCUCCCGCUCGAUACCGGAUCGUGUGGCUCCGAUCAUCCCCUAUUUAAAAACCCUGAUCCCCAUUUCACCCAAUCCCCGUCCCCAAAACCCUCUCUCCUCUUAUCCACACCACACUCCGUGACCGAAGCGAGAGAGAGAGAGAGAGAGAGAGAGAGAGAGGGAGCUCACCUCCGUCGCCAUGGCCAUGGCUUGCGCGUUCUCCUCCAUCGUCUCCUCCUCCAACCCAAGAACCCUCUCCUCCAACUCCUCUCCCAUGGCGUCGCUCCCCCCCGCUCCCGUGUCCGUUCCCAAAACCCUAGCAGUUCCGAGGAGCUUCCACGGCCUUCGGAAGGGUUUCCACCCGCGCCCUGCUCCAUCGGUCUCCGCUCCGAGAUCGGCGAAGAGAAGCUUCGUCGUGAAUGCUUUGAACGGGGUAUUGUUCUUCUCCUAGCUACAUUUAUCGCACUUCGUUGUGGUUGAAUGCUUUGUGCUUUGUUAGCCUUAUAUUUCUUAUCCUAUUUGCUUAUUUUUCCAAAAUAUGUGCGGAUGCAGUUCUUAUUUGGUUACCUACGAUCAUGCUUAGUAGAUUUUGCAUAUUCGAGUCCACAAAUAGUCGAAUUCGUCUAUAAACGGUGUCUAAGUGUUAUUUCGUAUGCGGUCCCUUGGUUUCUAUGAAAUGUUCACUGAGUAUAUGGCUUUUGUAGAGUGAUUUGCCAUUGGUUGGAAAUAAAGCACCAGAUUUCGAGGCGGAAGCAGUUUUCGAUCAGGAAUUCAUCAAGGUAUAGCAAUUGAUAGUAGCGGCUUUUGAUUUGAAGUCCUUUGUUUUUGCUGUCUUUUGCUUUCUCUUCUGCUUUCAACUAUGUGUGAUAUUGAAUGCUGAAAUGUAAUUUUGCCCUUAGUCACUGUUAUCCAUAGUUCUAUUCUUUUUUUUUUUUGGAGUGAUAGGCGCUGUAAAUGUAGUUGUUGCUAACUCUUCUCUCUUUGUUUGACGCUUCGAAGUAUCCUGUAAGAUAUUGUGCAAUGCAGUUUCCAGCUUACUCUUGUAAUGCUCUCAAAGAAGAAUGACUUUGUGAUAUAUUAUAGUAAAUCAGUGAAUCACACCACUUAUAUCUAUUUUUCAAAUACUAUUGGUCCUUUUGACAGGACAAGUGUCAUUUUGAUUUACUUCUUUUGAGUUACUACUGAUGCAAAAAUGCACCCUUUGUCUAACUUGUGUUUGUUUCCAUCCUUUUUAUCUAUUGCCUUUUUAUCUAUUUUGUGUUAAAUUCUUCUAGUUAAUUUGAUAAUCUGUUAAAAUAGCUGAUGUAUUUGACAAACACCAAGGAAUUUCCUGUGACCUGACGUAGAAUAAAUAUAAAAGAUAAUAAUUGAGUUUUAGUGUUUGUCUUUUAUGGCCUUCGGCAAGUACAUCCCAAAUAAGGACCCCCCAAAAAUCAAUUAGUCCAUCUGGCACGUCUGCCCUUAUAAAUUAGGUGUAACUAAGUAGGAAAUAGCACUUUAUGAAGCCUGCUCAAGAAUUGGAUUGGAAAGAGGAAAUGAUAAGAUUUUGGAUGCCAAUUUUCACUAUGGUGCAAUGCGUUGAUUCUAUCAGGAAUUUGAGAAAUUUUCUGUUGUCUCUAUCUUUAUUCCUUCCGUUAAAGCAUAAUUGAUUGGAAAUAUUCAUUUAAAGUCUUUAAUAAUUUUGGUCAUGCUGUUACAGGUCAAACUCUCGGAUUAUAUCGGGAAGAAAUAUGUGAUUUUGUUUUUCUACCCACUGGACUUCACAUUUGUUUGCCCUACAGGUAAACGCUUCACAUUUACUGACAUUCAUCUUGAUUUUGGUGGGCAAUUUUCCAGGAUAGUUUGUGUAGAACAAUUUUUUUUAACCCUUUUCUGUUUUUGAUUUUCUGUGCAGAGAUUACUGCUUUCAGUGACCGGUAUGCAGAAUUUGAGAAGGUUAACACAGAAAUUCUGGGCGUUUCAAUUGACAGUGUGGUAAAUUACUCUUUUCCAUUUUAAACUUUCAUUCGUCUUUUGGCCUACUAUUUUCAAACUAAAGUAUCAACUGCAGAAUAUAGACACUUUAAAAUUUUUUGUCAUUUCUAACCUGAACGUUCCAUGGACAUGUGUCUAUUAUGUGUGCAUUGCGUGCCCCUUGUCCUCCUGUCAUUCAUCAUGCGUCCAUCGUGUAUCUACUGCAUGUCCUCGUGAUCAUGCACGUCCAUUGUAUGUCCAAAGGGUGUCGAUUACAUCCUGUAAAAGAAAAUGAAGAUACUUGAGUACUCAAUUUUCUAUUCCAGUUCACAUAGUUUUCUAAGUGAUUGCUGACAUAAAAUUAAAUAUUCGAGUUCUUUAUAAUAUAUUGCUAAUUCUUUGGAUUGAAGAUAUGCUUUAAAUUACCACCGUGAUUGUUGAUUUAAACUUUUCAAUUAAGACUGAUCAGUUGCUUUCUUUAGUGAGGAAAUCAUUAUGUUAAUGCUGUUUCUUCUAAAAACAUAAUGAGAAUGUAUUCAGAUAGAUCCGUUUAUUACCAAGUUGACGAGUUGGUGUGUCCAAGUUGUGCUAUGUCAUGUAUCCGCCUAAGUUAACUUUCAUGCAUUGCUGAUAAAAUUUAAGGCACAGGAGAAAUGCCGUGAGAAAUGAUCAUUGAUGAAUUAUGAUUUGUUUUUAUAAUUUAAAAAUAAAUUAGAAGUGGUUAAAAGCAGAAAUCAUUUGUACGUGGAUCCAAACUUGUGUCUUUAACGUGUAUCUCUGAUUCUGAUAUUAUGGUACCUAUUGAAUAAUUUGUAGAUUAUACGCUACAUAGGCUAAUUAGUAUAGAGUAUUUAAAUGUGUUAACACGUAAAUUUGUAUCUCUUAUACCAUCUUGUUUGUGAUUUACUUUCUUCUGGAUAUGUAAUCUGUCUUAUAAUACUGUAACUAUUUGCUUUGUGCAGUUCUCCCACCUUUCUUGGGUUCAAACUGAUAGGAAGUCAGGGGGCCUCGGAGAUCUGAAGUAUCCCCUGAUUUCUGACUUGACAAAAUCAAUUUCAAAAUCUUAUGGUGUCUUGAUUCCUGAUCAGGUGCCAAUUUGUUUAUGUAGUAUUAUUUGGUUAGCUGAAGUUCUAUUCCAUAUGGUUUAGAAUUUUUUGGCUAUAACUACUGCAGUGGAAAUGUGGAAUGAUUAAUAUCUGUAUCGAAAGACUUUCUUCAGUUUCCUGUUAAAUCUGACAGGGUAUAGCAUUGCGAGGAUUGUUUGUCAUUGAUAAGGAAGGAGUGAUUCAGCACUCUACUAUCAACAAUCUCGCCAUUGGUCGUAGCGUCGAUGAAACCAUGAGGACUCUUCAGGUAAAUUAACAGCAAGAAUCAGAAUUGGAUUUUGCAUUGAAGUUUUGUGAUUGUUAACUUGUUUAUAUAGUAAUAGCAUCAAAACUUGUAUGGUCGCUAAGAACUGUAUUUUUAUGCGUGCAGGCAUUACAGUAUGUCCAGGAGAACCCAGAUGAGGUUUGCCCUGCAGGAUGGAAGCCCGGGGACAAGUCGAUGAAGCCGGACCCGAAACUCAGUAAGGAGUACUUUGCGGCUAUUUAGGUUUGAAAAGCAAAAUUGGCGAUUGUUGUAUUGUUUGUUAGAGGUACAAAGGAGUUAUUUAUCAACCUGCGAUGUGUCCCAUCCUUUAUGAGUCUGGUAAAUGUGCAUCAGUAUCUUGAACAUUUCCUCCGACAACUCUCUGUUUUUUUUUUUGAAUAAUAAAAGAUUAGUUUUUACUCUUUAGGUUGUUACAUAGGUGUUUUCUUGACGGUAAUUAUAGACCUUACUUGUACUGUAACACUUGUAGGUAUGUUAGAACUAACUGCUUUUAAUUAAGAAAGUGAUAGAAUAUUCUCUCAAGUAACAAAUCUGUCAGGUUACAGAAUAUUCUGUUAGAGAGUUAAAAAAACACCAGUAUGUGCUGAUUAAUGUAUUCAAAUUCAACACUAUAAAGUUGAGUGGUAGAACCAAAAUUUUAAAAAUUAAGUUGCCCAUUUGAAAACGUUCUUAGAGUUCAUGUAAGAUCUGAAAAUUUUCGCCUAUAAUUGAAACAUCUAAUGUUCCUGUUGUGGUCCUUAAGCUGGAUUUUGAUAGAUCCAAAAUGAUGAGAACCCAUCGCUAGGUUAUAUUGUUCUGUCUUCUUAGGGCACAUUUUAAUGCUGAAGUUUAUUUAUUCGCUGCAAAUAAGCGGAUUAUGUUGUCUAAGAUGUGAGAAAUGAGUGAAAAUACCGAAGAAUACAUGUCGGUCGUCGCUACAACGUUCUGUUGCUUCUCCUUCUGCUAGAUGAUGGGUGUUAAAGAGUGCUUUGAAACUUCGACGUCAUUGUUUGGUCCCAAGAUAGUGAAAAAGUAGUGUUUGGGACCAAAAUUAUAUUUUGGUUUUGUUAAUAUGUACAUAAGGUCCAUCAGUUUAACUUAGAAUUUGAGUUCAGUAAAUUUAAUAUCAAAAGAGAGUUGGUGAUUCUUUUAUAUGUACCUGCAUAACCUUCUACUUUCUUUUAAAUUAAUAUAGCUAGCAAAUUUACUGCAGUGUUACAUAUGAUCUUUUGCACAUGAUCUUAACGUAGCCUUAUUGUUUUACGAGCAUUAAAACUAUUCAUAUGAUAAUGCUACUAGAUGGUUUCAGAAACGUCUUAUCAUAGUAGGUACUAUACUGGGGAUUCUUUUGGACAAGUAAUGCCAUAUUAGUGCUUUUAGUUUUCACUCCAUGUGGUUCUUUACUUAAAAGAAGUACUCCAAAUGAUAGAGUUUGAUUUGGGACAUAGAAAAGAUAAGAUUGUGAACUAAAAAAAUAUUGGGGGAAAAAAAAAAGAAAGAAAAAGUAGAAGCCUACUUUUCUUUUACAUCUAACAUGCAUUGCUUGUUGUGCCAAAAUUUUUUAGUAGUUGGUAACUGCUAAUGAUUGUGUAGGGAGUUAAAAUUGUGAGAUUCUAUGGUAUCCCUUUAACUACAUUCCUUUUCCUUUGAUGCACAUCUUUUGUAGCAUUGCAAGGUACUUUUCCCUUUCUAUUAUUAGACUCAUGCACAUUUAGUUUCUUUUGGACCAUGUAAGGAAAAAGCUUUUGACUGUGACCUGGAUUAAUUUGAAGAUAAAAGCGCAUUGAAAGUUUGUAAUUAUUUCCUUUAUUUCUUUUGAGCCAAAUGUUCUAGUGCUAGUUUAGUUUUAUGGGUAACGAAAAGAAAAUCUGUGUUGUUUUACUUAAACAGAUUAGUCGCUAAACUUAUAAAAUUUCUCGCAAUCUUUGUCCUGUUAAUUAGAAUUCGGAAAAGUUUUUUCUGUUCAAGUUGAAGAAUAUGAAAUCAAAUUACAAUUUCAGAGCAGUAAAUACUGAUUCCUGCAAUUUUUAUUUCUCGAGUAAAAGAAGACACCAUGAAUAUAGAGGAAGAUGUCUUGGAAAUUUCACGUAUUUUUUUUAAAAAAAAUCAUAUAUAAAUAAUCUCCAACGGAGAAUGUGGAGCUCUACUUUCUAUGCAUAUUUACCAUAUCAUGGAUCAAUACCAAUCCAAACAUCAUAAUCUACAACUAAAGUGUGUUUUAACUUUAAUAAAACGUGUCAGUGCCUUAGAAAAAGCAAAUCAACAAUGUUUUAAAAUGCUUCAAAAAAAAAGUUAUUAAAGUGUUUAUAAAUUUUGGUGAUGUAUAGGGUGGCGGUGCUACUAUUGAUCCUUGUUGUAUCACUAUCACACCCACCCACAAAAUUAACCAAGAGAAGGGACAAAUGUGUGAUGCUCAAAAGCUCUAGCUUUUUCUGAAAUGUUGAUUUUUGUGCGUUUUGAAACUGCAAUUUCCCACAACGCAGAGAUCUAAAUUUUUUGCGUUGGCUCGCUUUAUUCCUCAUACGCUUUUAGUCCAGAGGAAAGGAAUUAAGCCGUACACAGUUACCUAUUCUUUUGGGCCCGGGUCCACAUUUUAAAGAGGUUUUAUACUAUUUCUAUCCAUUUUUAGUAGGCCCUGUUAUAGUUUUAUAUACAUAUGAUCAUAGUUACAGGCCCACAUUUUAUUUAUAUGGCAUUAAUGAGCCAAGGAAGGUACCAUUAUUAAUUGAACAAGUAGGGUUAAAGUUUUUUUAAAAAAUUUUUUAUAUCAUUAUGUUGGUUAUCUAUUUGGCAUAGUUUUCGCAAUCACUUUUUACACAUAGAAGCAGUAGUUGGAUGUUUGCUAAUAAAAAGUUCAUAGCUAGAAAUUAGAAGAAAGAGAGUAGAGAUCGACCGAGCCUUAUUUCAUCAACUCUUUAGUGAUAAUCUCAAUCUUUUGACUAAGAGUUACUCGAUUUUAACAUGUACAUAGAUUUGGUACUAAAAUCAAAAUUAUCAAAGCGCAUGGAUGGAUUUACCUCCAAAAAGAAAGAAAAGAAAAUUGAUGCCCAUUUCAGAAUUGGUUUUAUAUCUCAGGAAUGGUUAAGUAUGACUUUAUAUCAAUUCCAAUAAGUUGUUAAAUCAAUCAAGAUAAAUUAAGAGAGAGAGAGAGAGAGAGAGAGAGAGAGAGAGAGAGAGAAGAGAGAGAGAGAGAAGGGCUGUGUCAUUGGAUCCUGGAUGUCCCACCACAUGCCUUAAACACACUUUUCCCACCACAAAAUCCACUUUGGACCCAAAUUCACCCUCCCCUACAAGAAAAGAACCAUAAAUAUAUAUAUAUAUAUAUAUAUAUAUAUAUAUAUAUAUAUAUAUAUAUCCCUCCCACCCCCUCCAAAAAGCAUAUAUAGAAGCUCAAAAGAACUGAAUAUAAAGCAGAUAGCUACUUCCACAUAACCAUCACUUCAACUUCCCCCACUCUCUCACCACUGCAGUCUCACACUCACCACACCCCCCCCCAACCUAGCUCUCUUAAUCAAUCAAACACCACCAUUAAUUUCCAUAGAAAUUAAGAAGAGUAGCACAGUAGCUAGAGAUGAGAGCAGGAGGGUGCACAGUGCAACAAGCCCUAGCCCCGGAGGCGGCGGCUAUCGUGAAGCAGGCGGUGAGUUUGGCGCGGCGGCGGGGCCACGCGCAAGUGACGCCGCUCCAUGUCGCCAGCGCGAUGCUCUCCUCCUCCGCGGGGCUGCUCCGCGCCGCCUGCCUCCGGUCCCACUCCCACCCCCUCCAGUGCAAGGCCCUCGAGCUCUGCUUCAACGUCGCCCUCAACCGCCUCCCCGCCGCCGCCGCCGCCCCCCCGAUAUUCAGCCACCACCACCAUCACACUCACUAUCACCAGGCGAUGUCGCUAUCGAACGCGCUCGUUGCAGCGUUCAAGAGGGCCCAGGCGCACCAGCGCCGCGGAUCGCUAGAAAGUCAGCAGCAGCAGCAGCAGCAACAGACGAUCCUCGCCGUCAAGAUCGAGCUUGAGCAGCUCGUAAUCUCAAUCCUGGAUGAUCCGAGCAUUAGUAGGGUGAUGAGGGAGGCUGGUUUCUCCAGCACACAAGUGAAGUGCAUGGUGGAGAAGGCCCUUUCCUUAGACCCUAACCCUAACCCUAACCCUAGCAAGCCCAAGGAGGUGGUUAUAACCACCACUACUCCUUUUAGCCCAACCCAGGUGAGCAAAGCUAGGGUUUUGGAUCAUCAAGUGGUGAUCAGGAAUGAAGAUGUUGUGAGCAUCUUGGAGUGCAUGGCUACAAGGAGGAAAAGGAGAAUUGUGGUGGUGGGUGAAUGCUUGGCCACCAUGGAAGGAGCUGUUAGAGUGGUGAUGGAUAGAGUAAGCAAGGGAGAGGUCCCUGAGAGCUUAGGUACCAACCUGCAGUUCAUACCAAUUCAACUACACUCAUUCAAGCACUUACCAAGGGAGGAGGUGGAUCUAAAACUUGGGGAGCUGAGGUGCCUUGUGAAGAGCUUUUGUGGAGGGAAUAAGGGGGCAGUUUUGCUGUUGGAGGAUCUAAAAUGGGCUUCUGAGUUUUGGGCUAGUUGUUUGGAGAAGGGAAGAGGCCACUAUUGCCCUGUGGAGCAUGUGAUCAUGGGGAUUAGGAGCUUGGUUUGUGGCUUAAUUGAGGGUUUUUGGCUUAUGGGUUUUGGAACUUAUGAGACCUACAUGAGGUGUAGUGGUGGAAACCCUUCUUUGGAGGCUCUCUGGGGUCUUCAGGUUCUCACCAUUCCUAAUUCAAACCUGGGAUUGAGCCUCAACUGUAGCAGGUACAGAUUUGGUUUCUAUUCUUAAAUCAUCAUUAAUACUAUGUAAUCAAAUUGCACAUACUUUUUUAAUCUCUGUACUAUGUAUAUAUAUAUAGAGAGAGAGAGAGAGACCUCCCUUCUAAAGCUUCUUAGAAUAUUUGAUCAGUUUAGGAAUGAACUUUUGAAUGCUUUGUGAUUUAAUUAUGCCACCUUAUGUGCAGUGCUUCAUUAUUUAAUUCUCUGCUUUUCUUACCUCUUUGCUUAAUUUUCUUGAUUUUGUAUUAGUUUCUAAAUGCAUGUGUCUCUCAGUAGAAAUGAAGAACAUGCUAGAUUUAUCAGAAAUCAACAAAACGGAAUUCAUAUUUCAAUUGUUAAAUUAUUUGAUUCUUUGUCACUUGCAAUUUGAACAAUUUCGUCGGAUUUAAUCUUGAAAGAGCCCUUUAUAUAUAUAUAUAUAUAUACUUUGGUACUUACAUAUUGAUCAAGCAUAGGUUAAUUAAAAAUAUUGGCUUUGUACUUGUUGCAGUGAUUCACUGAGCUAUGCUAAGGCCAAGAUAAGCGGAAAUGAAUCUUCGCUGUCCUUGUUAGAUGGCGGAGUCGAGAGUCAGCUUACAUGCUGCACCGAUUGCUCUUUCAAAUUCAAUAGCGAGGCUCGAAGCUUGAAGAACAUGUCUUACAGAAGCCACAGCUCCAUCGCCUCAAAUCUACCUUCAUGGCUCCAACAAUAUAAAGAAGAGAACUUAAACAGCAAUGAUCAGGUACACUUAUCAUCUGAGUCUCAUGUUAGUAGCAAUUACAGCAACCAAUAUUAAUAUAUUUCUAGUAAUUAAUAAUUUUUUUUGGCUUCUCUCUCUUGUAGGGUUGUCUCCAGGUGAAAGAUCUAUGCAAGAAGUGGAACUCCAUAUGCGGCUCAUCUUGUAGGAAUCGGCAUCAUCCAUCGGAGAUUACCCUAAAUUUCUCCUCACUAUCCCCGUCUUCUUCGAUAUCCUCCCAUGAUCAUAAGCCAUGGCCACUUCCUCUCGAGGCCAAACACCCGUGGAGCGAAGGCUACCCCCGGCUUUCGGAGAACAACGACGAAGGCCUCGGACCCGAUUCAAGAAGUAACUCCCAAGAGAUAAUUAUGGGACAACAGUGUAAUACAAACCCUAACCCUAACUCAGCUUCUUCAAGUGGCACAGUGCAUGGGGAGUGUCUUCCUAAGUUCAAAGAGCUUAAUGCUGAGAAUCUAAAGAUCCUCUGCGACGCGUUGGAGAAGAGGAUCUCAUGGCAAAAGGGUAUAAUCCCCGUGAUAGUGAGCGCAGUUCUCCGGUGCAGGUCAGGGAUGAAGAGGAGGAAAGGUGAGUCGAAGUCGAUGAGCGGCACCAAGGAGGAGACUUGGUUGUUCUUUCAAGGAGUUGAUACUAGUGGGAAAGAGAUUGUAGCUAGGGAGCUAGCAAAACUUGUUUUUGGUUCUUAUGACAGUUUUAUCUUGGUUGAGCUUAACACUUCCUCAUCGACACGGUCGGAUUCUAGUGAUGAUCGUGCAAACAAGAGAUCGAGAUUGGAGGCGAAAGAAAGCUAUCUCGAUCGACUCUUUGAAGCUAUUCGAGAAAAUCCGCACCGUGUAAUAUUGAUGGAGGACAUCGAGCAAGUUGAUUAUUAUUCUUUACUUGGUAUUAAGAAAGCAAUUGAGAGUGGAGUGAUUCGGAGUUACAAUGGCGACGAAGUUAGGGUUGGUGAUGCUAUCAUUAUCUUGAGCUGUGAGAGUUUCGACUCGAGAUCGAGGGCUUGCUCUCCUUCAGUUAAGCAGAAGGUGGAGAUGAGUGAGGGCGAGAAGGAAGAAUCAGAAGAGAUAAGCUCAUCCAUGUGUUUGGAUUUGAACAUUCGUAUCGAAGAAGAUGUGGAGUGUUUGUUCGAUAACGUCGGUCUCAUUGAAGCAGCGGAUCAAGUGGUCUUCUUCAGAUUGCCAGAGGAGUUGUGAUCUGAAGAUAUUUUCAUAUUUUUUUUCUUUCUUUCUGAAUAUUUCCUUCUCUUUUAAUCUUUUCUUCUUUUUUUCUUGUUUGGUGAGGUAUAAUUUAAAAAGAAAGAGGUUUUGGUUGCUUAAGUUAGAAUUAGGAAGUUGAAAUACUUGUAGCUUGUCCUGUGGUAUUGGUUUAUGGUUUUCUUUUUCCCUUUUUAUUUUUUCUAUAUGAAUCUCUAUAUAUUAUCAUAUCUUAGUUGCCAAUAUAUAUAUGUGACUGUUAAUAUAAUGCCAUUGACUGUGGCUAAUCAUAAAUUAAAUAUAACCUUAAUUCACCAUCCAAAUCUAUUCUCAUUAGGAACUCUUCAUCCACACUAAUACUAGAUUAUACACAUAAUUUUUUAAAAAUGGACUGCACAUAAAUGAAAAAAUCACUUUAAUCCUUUUCCUUUAAUUAGUUGGAAUUGGUUCUUAUUAAUUAUUGGUAGUUAUUUAUCACAUAAAGCAUAUGCUCAUUAAACCCUUCAUCUCUAAUCUGAUCAGACAACAGGAUCAUUAAUUUAAUUAAACACCACAUAAAUUAAACUAGUAUUGUAUUCCUCAGUAGGUUAUAAUGCAUGCACUAUCAGACACAAUAAAGCCUUGCUUGAUUAGGGAAUAAACAAGGUUUCCAAAAUCACAAUCACUAAUUAAUAACACAAUCACGAAUAGGCAACCCAACUUAGAUAUAUGGGACUAAAGUACCAACAUAAUGAUGGCAUGAGGCAUAUGUUACUAUUUCCCAAAUUAAAAGAAAAAAAUAGAAGGUGCAUAAUGAAGGAUUAAAGAAAGAUUCAUAACUUAGGGUUUGUGCAAAGGAGGGGUCACUUUAGGAGGCAAAAGCACAAUCUUCCUUAAGAAAUAUCAAAAGGGCACUACUUUUAAUGCAUUGCAAUACGAUUUAUUAAAAGAAUCCCUUUCCCUUGCUUUAGAUAUGCUAAACCUUACAUUCUCAUCUUUGGAAAGUGGUGGGUGUGUGUGAAAAAGCUCAACACAAAAUAAAGACACAGCAUCUGUGUUCUUUAUGCUAUAAAGUUGUUAGUGCCUUAGAAUCCAAAAAAGAUAAUCUUCUCUAAUCUCUUAACCUUUUUUUUUUUUUUUGAGAAAAAGGUAGCACGCUAUCUGCUUCAUUCAAUUAGACGAUGAACUAAGCUACAUGGGUGAGGCAGCAGGGCCUCGAGAAGGGCGAAAAAGCGAAAAGCAGGAAAAAAAAAACACCUAUCUAUAUAUAUAUAUAAAUAUAUUAACUCUUUUGAAGAGUUACCCAGUAUCAUUAUGUCUAUCUACUGGAAGGAGAUGCUCCCAAAAGCUCUUCAGCUGAUUAAUCUCUUAACCUUAUUAAAACUAAAUAUCUCCACUGUAAAUAGAGAAUUCGACGUUUGCGAAUUGAAAACAUUAUAUGUGAAUUAAAGCAUUAGGGUUUUGGUGAAUAUAUAUAUCUCAUAUGUAUGGAGUAGGAGGAAAUUUACUCUCCUCUUACAUGGUUAUAGAUUCUUCUCAAAAUCAGCAUUCUAUGUUCUGUCUCUUUUGAUUUACUGCAUGCUUUUGAUUUUUAUUUUGAAAGCCUCUUUAUCUUACCUCAGUUAAUAUACAUACAUAUACAUAUAUAAAUCGAUAUAUUAAUGCGCAUGCAUACAUGAUUUAAUAAAAAUCAUUAGAAAAACAAAAGACAAACACUAAAAUUUACUUAAAAAGUUUAAAGUGUUUUAGAGUUGUGAUUUAAUAUUUUAAUCUCAAAGUAUACAUGCAAGGAAACAAGCUAUUUUUAUCCCAAUAUAUUAACUUUCUCUACAUAUUAAUACCUUUUAAUUUGCUCACAUUUUUUAAGGAUAUUAAUGUGAAAAGUUGAGAGUAUGAAGACAUAUGUACUACUCUUGUAUCCCCAGGAUUACUAAAAUAUACGCUACUUGUUCCGGACAUAUAUAUAAUCCAACCAAAACAAAGCCUAUUUUCAUAUAUAUAUAUAUAUAUAUAUAUAGGGAUUCGGACAAUUAAUUUCCUAAAUUAUCUUUGUUACGCAUAUGAUCACACCUUUCUUUAAUUAUUCGGAUAAAAUCACUUCACAUCACCUCCUAGAUCACAACAAGUAAAUAUCAUGGACGUGAUCUUCCGUAGCUCAAAGUCCAAGAUAUACGCACGCUAUGCAUGUGCAUCGAACUUUAAUUGGAUACAUGAAAACAUACACUAUGGUAAAAUUUGGGGAAAAUUUUUAGCUUUAGGUGUCGAAUUAUAUUUAUUCAUGAAAAGCUAUUAAACAUGGUAUUAGUUAAAAACAAUCAUUCACAUAUGUUAUUGAUAUAAGGAUUUUAGCUAUCUAAUUAAAUAGUUUUUCAUUUGCAUGAUGGCAGAAAUUUCCAUAUAUNUAUAUAUAUAUAUAUAUAUAUAUAUAUAUAUAUAUAUAUAUAUAUAUAUAUAUAUAUAUAAACUAUCUAAUUACACUAUUCAGUAGCUGUCGCGUUUGCAUUUGCAUCGUACAUACACAUCGCGCUACUCUUCCUUUGUCGCUGAUAGUAUAUAUGAGUUAAUGGUAGAAGAGUGUAAUACUUCAUUGCAAAAUAUAUAAAUAAAGUAAAAGAAGAACAAUUUAGAUUGAUCGAACCAGUUUCAAAUUAGUUUUGUAAGUGCACAUUCUAAUUAAGCAGCUAAUAAACUAAUUAACUGUAUUUUCUACAAUUAAUUAGUGGCCUUCAUAUAUGUUGACAAGAAAUACAAAACCUCGAGCUGUGAACUAGGGUAUAAGAUGAGACAUGAUCCUACAAGUUGUGGCCUUUAAGAAGGGACCAUGCAUUAACCAUAUAUUUAUUGCUUGUUAAAAGCAAAUGAUAAAGUGGAAAAGGAGAAACAUAUUGGAUGUACAUAUACGAGCCUUGCAUAUAUACUUUUUAGUUUUUACACCAACCCACCUCCCAUAACUUUGCUGUAGCCAAUCAACAUUAUUUUUGAAACAUUCUCCCUCCCUAAAUCUUCUUUUCUCAAAGUAAAUGAUGCACCAGUCAGAGAUGAGAUGUCUUUUUUUUUUUUUUUUCAAUGCUAAAUGACAAGAAUAACCCUUAUAUAUAUAAAUUAAAUGAUCAGGUAUUUAUUUGUUAUUUUAUUUUUAAAGUAUAAGGACGGAAAGAGAGGGUAACACACAAAGAACCGAUUCUUCGAGAAAGACUAAAACAUUUUUAAUUAAUUUUCUUACUACAAAUAUAUGUAAUCCUAAUAUUUAUUCUUUAUUGAAACCUUCGCGCUUCCUACAUUUUUAGAAAUAAACUUAGCUAGAAAUGUAAAGUAAUAAAAUUUCAAAGUUGGAACCUCUGGUACCAACUAUUAAACCCUUAACCGUCAAUGGGUCCUUAUAUAUUUUCUAUCACUUAAAUAUAUGUUUCUGUACUUGCCUUUCUCCCUUUAUAAAGUGUUGCAACCCUUUUUAGAACCUCAAGGCGCACUUUUGGCAAAGAAUGUUCAUCCUUCGCAUUAAUUAAUCUUCAAAUUAAGGACGCACAAUGAACUCAACUGAUUAUAUAUUUUGUUAUCUUUUCUUUUCUGUUCUUUUUUAUGUAGAUGCAUGUACCAAGGCCAUUUUGAAAUGAGAAAUUCUAAGUCUACAAUCAAAAAUGGUUGUGUGAAAAUUUUAGCCUUUGGAUGGACAUAUUAUAAGAUCACAACAAAUAUGGUUGCAGAAGCAUUACUCUUCAAAACUUUUAGGCCAAUUUAGGCCAACAUCCCUUAAAAAAUAUAUUGAUGAUUAUAAUUUGAAUUAUUCCACCAGUAAGAAAUUAGAUUUUUGGCCUCCAUAUAUAGUUUCAUUUGGCUUUUAUAUUACAACAUAUUCUUAAGCACAUGUAUAUAGACAUAUAAAUUGCUAUAUCCUUCCAAAUGGAACUGCCUAACUACAAUAAGCUGCUUCUUAAUUUCCUACUCACUCAUGUACGAAGACACGAGGACUUCUAAUGCAUCAAACUUUAGUUUAUAGUUUUACUACCGACCGUAUCUAGCUCAGUUGACUAAGGGUUUGAUAGUUGAUACCUGAAGGUCGAAAGGUCGAAACCUCGUUACUUCACAUUCCUAAUUGAGUUUAUUUCUAAAGUAAAUAAUGAAGCAAAGCUUACUAGAACAGUCAUUUGUUCAUUCCUGUGCAUAAAUGUGGCAUGCUAUCUCUCACUUUGCCAGCAACUGUAGAACAAGACAAGUUGCUAAACAUCUUGCUCUUUCAUAUACCCUCAAAUCCCACAAGUAAAUAAAGAGAACCUCCAUUGGCCAAAGCAAAAGAGACUUGGGAAUGAGACAAAGUUUCCACAGCACCGAUCCUUUUACCCAGUACUUUAAAGCUUGUAUGAGCCUUUUUGGCUUACUAAGGGUGUCCUUUAAUUCCUUUGUUUUGUGUAUGAGAGAGAGAGAGAGAGAGAGAGAGAGAGAGAGAGUGCCCUGCAUGCAUGAAAGUGAGGUAACUCUUGGAUCUGGAAGCCUCAGCUACUACAAUCCAACACUGAUAGCUAGUAUGUAUAGCUAUCUAUAUCAAAUAGGUGUAUAUAUAUUCUCACUAGUAUAGACCAUCUUUAAGUACAAGUUUGAACUAUUUUUCUUAUAUAAAUUAAGACUCUCUUAAUUAAUUUUGAGACUUUUUUAUUUGAGGUAUUACACUUGCUCAAGUCCAAAACAAAUUUGUUAGUUAUAUUAGCUAUUUAGUCAUUAAGUGAUUUUUUUUUCUCCUAAUUAAAAUAGAGAAAGAUAGUAAGUUAUACGUUUCGUUCAUUUUUCUAGAAAUAAAUUUAGUUAGAAACAGCUAUAUUUCGAACUUAGAAUCUCGACUACCAACUAUUACGUCCUCAUCCGACUGCGCUAAAUAAUUCAAUUUUAUUUACUAAAAACUAAUUAAAACUUUUAUAUUCUGAAAUUUAAAAGUUAAAAAGGCAUCAAUAAUUUUUUUUUUUUUUUUUUGAUGAGCCAUGUAAAGGUGGCCUCUAGUUGAGGGGCCCUACAUAUAUAUUUUUUUAUAGCUAUCAAUCAUGAUCUAGUUAAUGCCUUGUGGGCAUUUUGUAAUUUUUGAGUGAUGGCUACUACAUAUAUAGGGUGGGGGAUCCAAGAAGAGGGGGGGAUUCUCUGUUAUGUAUAUGAUGCUAAUUCAGUUCAAGGGAGAAGGCCUAGAGGCUCCAAUCCAUGUGCUACUAUAUCUGUCCCUUCUCUUUUGCCCUUUUCUUUAACUUGCUUUUCUUUUGUUUCUUUUUAUAAAUAUUUUUUCUCUUUUUCUUUAAAGGAAAAACUCCUUUGAUCCAAGUUCCAUCUGAUGUUGACCGGUCAAAAGAGGUGGCUAAAUGACAUAUAGGAAAAAGAAACAAAUAUUGUAGGGUAACAAGUUCCAUUUGAGGUGGUUUGGGGGAAUGACACAUAUAAGAGGCAUUUUCAUGGGGAGGGGGACCAUUUUGUUCUAUUUUGUUAAAUGUAGAGAUGAUUAGGGUAACAAAAAAUACGUGGACCGCACCGUUCAUUAUUGUUUUAAGAUUUGUGAUUAUUGUAUAUGAUGGAUAGUUGAUUAGAUUAUUUUUUAUUUUUCGUUAAGAGACUUCAUAUAGAUAAUGAUCAGAAUGGCGUGCACUAUAUAUGCCUCACGUAGCUUUAACAACAAAAAUAACUAUAAUAAUAUAGACAACAUUCAGAAAGUGUCACACUAAUUUUAGAGCGUAUUUAGAAGCUUCAAACUGAAAUUUUAACUCUCGGAAUUUAUUUAUUUUUGCCUUUUGUCUUAAUUAUUAGAAAUUUCAAAUUUUUUGUUUGCUAAAUGCGUUAUUGCUAUAGCUGAAAGUAAAAGCAGAAGUAGAAUCAAUCAAUCAAAUCAACACUGAAAGCACCAAUCCAGGAGGAGACAUGCUAGUACCUUAAUUAUUGCAUCCUUGAAUUGGGGUAGUUGGGGUAUUAAUUUAAAUAAGAGGAUUGUAUCAUUGUAGUGUCUGGUAAUGAAAGCAUACCUUAAUCACUUAAUUUAAUUAAGGUGAAGAGAAGAAUCUUUAUAUUUACAAUAAUUGAAGCAAUAAACUAAUCCAAUUUAAAAGUAGUGCCCUAAUUAAACCUAAUUAAACAGAAUGUACUGCUGGCUCUGAGUAAGCAGUAAUCAUUUGGUGACAAAAGCUCAAAAAUUAUAUGAUAAUAAAAUAUAUAUAUAUAGGGACAUGUUUUCUUUUUUCUUUUUUCUUUUUUCUUUUUUUUUUGUUGUGUGUAACAUAAAACAAAUGCAAAAGCAAGUGAGAACUAAUUAAGAGAUAUCAUAUAUAGAAGUAUAUUUAAUCUAGUGAAAGAUCAUAUUAUCUUACAUUGCAUUAAAUAAGCUUAUUUAAUUACAACUGUAUGUUUUCCACUAUCCAACUUUUCUCAACAAUAUUUGAUAUAUAAAAUCAUGCAUAUUGGCCAAAUGAUAUAUACACUCUUUUUCAUAUAUAUAUACUAUUUUAUUCCAAUAUUAUUUUUUCCCCCUUUUUCUCCAUUUAAAGUUGACAAUUCCAACUACAACAAUGUUUUCAAUAAGAAACUAUUACAAGUGAUAGAACAAUUAACAACUAAGCUCCAAUUGAACAGUAAGCUAGCCAAUACCAAUUAAUGAGUACAACAUAUACUCUAAUACCAAAUUAAGAAUCGAAUAUCUAUAAUAAGAAAUCGAAAUUAUGAACCGAUCGACGAAUCACGAAUGGUCAAUAGUCAACGCUGCACUUGGUCGGCGCGAACGCAGCGGCGGAGCUCACGGCGGUCGGCGGCGGCGGCAGGAGCUUCACCACGCAGUCGACCUUCGGCUUGAAGCCGUGGACCUUGGCGAACCAAACUUUAUACCUAUUGAACAUAACAUAAAAUGCCAUAAUAUGUAAUACCGUUUUUUAACAGCUUAAACUUUUAUAGUACUAUAAGCAAAGCACCUCAGCUUCGCGUGGACCGUGAUUUCCACGCGGAACGCCCCCUCCCCCUUCUCCCUACCAAACGCGUCGCUAACUCCCGCGCCCACGCCCGCCGUGCGGCCUUUGAAAACCGCGCUCACCGCGGUGGUGGUCUUCGGAUGCUGGUAGAAUUCCGGGAAGGGCGAGUCGGCGGGGCCGAGGAGGGCGCCGGAGUAGAAGGCGGCGGCGUCGAGGCGGUCGUAGUAGACGCCGAUUCGGCUGUUGGGGUUACGGAGGGAGAGAUCGGCGGUGAGAUUGAAGAGGAGGGCGCCGGAGGGGGAGAGGGCGAAUUCGGUGAGGGAGGCGGAAUCGACGCUGGCGCCGAUGCGACGCGGGCGGAAUAUGAGCCAGAAAUCGAAAACAAGGAAGCCGGCGAAGAAAAGGAGGCCGCAGAAUUUGCUGCAGCAUCUCGUGCAGCCGUCGGCGCCGGAUGGGUUAGACAUACUGCCCGGGUGCCAGAGAUGGGUGUUUUUUUACAAUUGUACUAAAAUUCUCAUCAACAAUAAGUUGUAAUAAGUAUAUUUCAUAUGUUUUUUUUUUUUUUUUUUCCCUCUCUCGGGGCCUGGCUGCCCCACCCUUGUAGCCUAAUUCAUCAUUCUGUUGAAUGAAGCGGGUAGCGUGCUACCUUUUUCUCAAAAAAAAAAAAGAAAGUAUAUUUCAUAUGCCGUACUACUAAACUUCUCUAUAACAGAUACCGUAGAAUAAUCUCUCUCUCUCUCAAAAAAAAAAAAAAAAAAAAAAAGAGAUACCGUGGAGUAAAAUGCUAAGGCAUUAAAUGUGUCCUGUGAUAUUUGAAAAUUUUGGGAGCUAAUUUUUUACAACAACUCGUAAAAUAAUCUUCUCUAUGUGCACAGUUGACUAAAUAGAGUUUUUUUUAAAUAGAUCACAUUUAUUAUAUUAUUUUUUGUUUUUAGUAUGUUGAUCAUUUAAUAUAAGGUGCGGUGCAUAUGGUGUACUUUGUACACUUCGUGCAGGGAAUAAUUGCGCGUUAAAGUAAUUAGUAGGAUUUAAUUCAUUAGGCCCAUUUAAUGUGGAGGCCCAUUUAUGUUGAAUCCACGUCUCCGGUUAGAGAUUACAACUGGGCUAUUCUGGGCCCAUUAGACCCAAACCUACACAUUGGACCAAGCUCAAUCAAAUAAUAAAUUUUCAAUUAAUUUUCAUAUAUAGGCUUAUUAAACGUUAUAAAAUACAUUUAAUAAAUUAAAUUUGAUUUUGUGGCCACUACAAUACGAUUUUAAAAAUGUGGUGCAUGGUGCACCAGGUGCAUGCAAGCUCCAUUUCUAUCGGGCCGUAUGCGAUUUAUUGGGCCGGGCCUACUCCAAUGUUUAAAAUAUAAUGCAAAGAGAAUUAUUUUUAUUUCGUUUACACCUCUAAGAUUUAAAUUGUUUUUAUUUAAAUCAUCUUCUUAAAUUGAACUGAGAUUUUGUAAGAAUUAAUAAAACCCAUUGUUUCGUUGUCCAAUAAGGUGUUCAUAACAAUUAAUUUUGGAAGAACAUUUUCUCUUUUCCUUAGAUUAUUUUGAUUUAAGGAAUCUGCAUUUAAUUCUCAGAGGAAAAGCUAAUUAAAGCAAAGAUUGAGUUUAAAAAAGUAAAGGCUCUGAGACCCACAUUAGUAAGUGCAUAUAUUUUAACACUGCAAUAAUAUUACUGUACUCAUCUCAAACACAGGACAUAUAUCUCAAUCUCCUACUUUACCAUUUCUCAAUCCACUUUUCUAAUUAAGCACACAGUGAAAGCAGAUAAAAAUAAAAAGAUAAAAAAAAGGAGCAAUUAUAAAGUAUUUAAUCUAGGGGUUUUUUUGCAAAUAGCCCCCUGACAAUUUUUUUUUUUAAAAUUGGCCCUGUGUAAAAAUUAUUUGCAAAAAUGGCCCUGGCCCCGCCCCGUCAGCACCACGUCAGCGCCACGCGGGCGGGGCUGGGCCAAGUGUUUAUAUUGAACACGGUGAACCAUUCACCGUGUUCAAUACAAAAUUUUUGUAUUGGACACGGUGAAUGGUUCACCGUGUCCAAUACAAAAUGACUAAGUGAGAUAUAUUUGUAUUGGACACGGUGAAUCAUUCACCGUGUCCAAUACAAAUAAUUGGACACGGUGAAUAGUUCACCGUGUCCAAUACAAACACCCACAACUUAACCAUUUUUGGCUAAGUCGAAUGUAUUUGUAUUGGACACGGUGAACCAUUCACCGUGUCCAAUACAAAAAUCUUGUAUUGAACACGGUGAAUGAUUCACCGUGUUCAACUUAUACAAUUGGCCCAGCCCCGCCCGCGUGGCGCUGACGUGGCGCUGACGGGGCGGGACCAGGGCCAUUUUUGCAAAUAAUUUUUACACAGGGCUAUUUUCGAAAAUAAAAUUUUUUAUGGGGCUAUUUGCAAAAAAAGCCCUUUAAUCUAUUCUUAAAGCUUCUUAUUGGAUUUUCUAUGCUCCUCCCUUUGUUUUACUAUACUAUAAUUAUUUAGUUAAUUUUUUUAAAAUUAUUUUCUCUUUCAAAUUUAUUAUUAUUUUUUUUCCCUCUUUUAAUAAGUCCACUCUUGAGGGAGAAGUAACUCAGGUGGUUGAAUGGGCACUGUUUCCUUUGCCACCACUGCAUAUUGCUGCUUCUUUUGUUGCUUUUCUCCUUUAUUAACAUCUGAAAAAAAAAAUAAAUAUAAAAGGAUUUUUAGAUACUUAAAAACUACAAUUGCAUUUUAUGGAUAAAGAUUAAAAAUAUACAUAUAAACAGAACUGAUUUCGAUACUAACAAAUAAAUUUGUUGCAUUUGUUUAUCUCAUUAUAAAAUUUUAAAAUGUAAAAAAUAUAUUUAUAGUUCAGGAACUAAAAUAUUUAUUUUUUUAAUAGUACAGAAACCGAUUCGCAAAUAUUGGGAUGUGUAGGGGCUACCCAUGCAUUACCUCAAAGAUAAUAAAUUAUGUACACACAUCUCUCAAAAAAAUAAUAAAUUAUGUACACACAAAAAAGACAAAAAAUAAACAAAAGGAUGGAGGCAAAAAUAAGAAGUUAAUUAAGGGGUAAUUUUUAAAAUGGGAAGCUCAUUAAAAGCAAUUAAAUAAAUAAAGUCUCGGAAAAAAAAAAAAAAAACAAAAGAGCGGCAAAAUUUAACUCACGCGGUUUUUUGUUGACUCCGGGGUUGACCGCGACGCGCGGGAGGAACACCCCGGUCCCACCACACUCCUUCCCUGAACCGGUCGACCGAACCGGGUUGAACUGGACCGCAGUGAACCGGACCGGACCUGGCCCUUGCUGUAUUUUCGAAACCUUCUUAUUAUUAUUAUUAUUGUCAUGCGUAAAUCCCAACGCCUGCAAAUUUUAAUUUUAUAUUUUUAGCAAAAAAAAGUUUAAAAAAAGGUUAAAUUUAUGGAUCUAAUUUAUUUAGAAUAUAAUUAGUUAAUUUUAUUUUAUUUUACACAUGAAGAAAAAAAAAGCAGCUUACUUUAGACUGAGCCAGUUUUGACGAACCAACCGGUCCGAACCGGGGCACGCCCGGUCUAAACCCCUGAAACCGAGACCAAAAAAAAAAAAAAAACCAGAAAAUAAUUAAAGCAAAAUAGGGGAAAAAAAAAUUAGCCAAAAGAAGCAAAAAAGCUUCGAAAGAGAGAGGAGAGAAUGAGACCUCAAAGAGAAGCGAGGGACGAUGAGGAUGGGGAAUGGUGGCGACGAGGUGAUUGGUCCGGUCCACAAGACCGGAGGGGUCGGAUCGGUGCGCCGGGUCCACCACGUAGGCAUGGUGGGGCCGUGGGCCCCAUCCCCCGCCGCAGCGCAAGUUGUGUGGGAACUCCGCCAUCGUCCCCAACGAAGAGUGAGUGAGAGAGAGAGAGAGAGCGUAUGUAUAUAUAUAGAUGCGACGAGUAGGGGUAUUUUCGUCUUUUUACGCUUUUGGCUUUGGCUUUAUAUAGAAGCUAUUCGAGUACGGACGUGUAGUGAGAAGGGAGAAUAUAAGCGCACUUGAAAUUUUGACUCGAUUUUGUACUCGCUUCGAUUCUCCGUUAUGUUUGGGGUGCGAAGUCAAGUUUUGGGGUUUAGUUGAUUCGUCCAUUUUUGGGUGGCGAAAGGUCACGAAGAGAAAGUGUAAAGGAUCCCGAUGAUUGGUUGGUAACAGGAAACGCGUACAGCUGUGUUGUUCUGUUUACACGUGGCGCGGGGAGCGGAGCGCCGCCUCCUAUUGGCUGCUGCGUGGGGGCCAUUUUGAAGUGGGUCCCACAAGUCAAACAAUGGCCGUGCGUGUCCCUUGAAAUGCAAACGGUUUGGUCAAAUUGGCGAGAACCUCCGUGGUUCGCGUGCAGUGGUAACGUACGGGAUGGCCGUACUGCCACGUGGCAGAGUGGAGCCCACGCACAUAUUUUAUGUAUUAUGCGUAUAUAUAAUAAUAUUAAUCUCUACCGUAUAUAUUAUAUACGUUAUUGAAUAUUGAAUAUAUAAUAUUAGAAAAUCUUUCUAGAAAACCUUUUAAAGAAUAAAUAUUAUUUUACAUUACUCAAAUAUGAUAUUUAUAUACUAUAUAUUAUUUGAUAUGCAUUAAACACAUUAACGGUCUAAAAAAACAGCAUUUUACAUCCAAAAUGUUCAAAUUACAAGGAGCCAGGGAGAGGUAUUGUGCACUUCAAUGGCUUAAUAAUUGUUUAACAGUAGCUAUACUAAUGGUAUUAAUUCUUUGAGAAGGAACAAAUCUGAAUGCAUCGAAUCUGAUCAAUUUUAAUAGUAACAAUCCCAUUAAUAGCAUCACCCAUGUUCAAUGGGUUGAGAAAAAGAAGAGAUUUAGGACCUAGUUGAUAUCUAGCCUACUUUAUGAGACAAAAAAACAAAACAGUUAAAAUAAAAUGGGAAAACUUCAAAAACCCCCCUGUGGUUUCAUGCAUUCUCACUUUCAUAUCCUGUGGUUUAAAAUGUAUCAAUUUGUCCCCCUGUGGUUUCAUUUUUCUCUUUUUGUUAUCAAUUUUAUUAUUUUUUUUUUCUUAAAUCAGUGACAAAAUUAAAAUUAAAGGAUACUAAAGUGAAUAUUCGAUAAACAUAGAUGGUUAUCUGAAAUUUUUUGUAUAUAAUUUAACGAAAUAUUAACGAAAAAACUUCUGAAAAGAUAAAAACGAAACCACAGGAGGGCAAAUUGAUACGUUUUAAACCACAGGGUACUAAAGUGAGAAUGCAUGAAACCACAGGGAGGGUUUUUGAAGUUUUCCCAAAUAAAAUUAUAUAAAAGCAUAAAAAAUGUGCUAGUCUUAAGAGGACUGAUGCAUUAAAAAUGUGCAGAGUUGUUGUGUAGUGUUGGAAGCGUGAUUUGCUAUGAUACCACUUGUUGGAACUGGUAUUUGUACUGAUACCGAUUAUAUAAUUCAAUUAAUUUAGGGUAAUUAGCAUUCCAUUGCCAUUACGCGUCUAAGCCACAAAAGCAUUUAACUCGAGCGUGUCCCUAUUUUCGGAAAUUUUAGAAAUGAUCAGGUCCUUCUCAUCACCAGCUCAUCCCAAUGCAACCCAAAAAGAGAAAAAAUAAAAACAGCAAAGUAUUGUUUUUUUUUUUUUUUUUUUUUUUUUUUUUUUUUUUUUUUUCAAUUGAACCAUGCGUUCUAGAUACAGGUGUGAAUCCAAAAUUUCUCUACACAACAGUACAACUUUAACAAGCACUUUAUAAAGUAUGUUAAUGUGAAACACCUCAAUUGGAAAAAGUUGCCUAAUUUGUGUCAACUUUUGGUUAGAAAAAGGACCAGUAACUUACUUUGAUCAGCUUUGUGGGGCCGAGAAUUAUCCAGCAAUUUAACUGGACUUGAUAAAUUUACAUGAUUCAAAGUCUCAAACCUAAUCCACCUAAGACAUUUAUAGGUGGGAAAAGUUAUUAUAUCUUAAGGUUAACACUCAAACGGGAUCAGCAAAAUCACAAGCCAAGGGAAAGACACAGACACUACAAAUUAGGUAAAUAGAUCAAAGCAAGAGUAUCACAAUUCAUGAAAAUAGUUUCCAAGUGAACCUUCUCGACCUCUCCUCUCGUAUCCAUUAGCAUGUGACAAUUUUCUUUUGGCUAAAUUGCACUUUUUGUCAUCAAAUUUUGAGGCUCCUCAAACUUUAAUUUGUUGCAAUUCUGACUUGAACUUUUAAAUUGUUGCAAGUGACAUAGUCUAGUUUAAUUGAUUGAAUAAUGACAUGUCAGAGCUAAUUUGAUAGCUAUGCAAUAGUAUUGUACGAUACCGUGACAAUUAUUAAUAUGCCACAUCACUAUUAUAUCAGCAAAACAUCAGUAUCAAGUCAACUAAAUUGGGCUUAAUUGGACUUCAGGAUUUAAUUGCAACAAUUUCGAAAGUUGUGAACCCGAAAGUGCAACAAGUUGUAGUGUGAGGGCUAAAGAUGUCACGGUCCUCAAAGUUGAGGAACAAAAGUGCAAUUUACCCUUUUCUUCUCUUUCUUUUCUAUCUCGCACUUCUUAUGUCCUGCCAAGUUACUUUAGUUACUCACAUAUUUGUCCUCUCUAUUAUUCUUUCAUUCUCUAAAUAUUCCUCCUUUUUUUUCCCUAUAUGUAUCAUAUAACUGGUCAAAACAAAUUCAAAUCCAAGUGGUAAACAUAUUCAUGCAACUAGAUCACAAGCACCCAAAAGAGAAAAAAAGAUCAACAGAGUUAUGGCUAUCUACUUGCAGUUUUUAUGGAAAACUAUAAACCAACAAUAGUAGUUGGCCCAAUGCUUCCUCUCCCUGUAAAAUCAAAUCUACAGGUAAAGCACACACUAAACAAGCUAAAAAGCAUCUGUCAAUCAAUGUAUAAACUAUUAAGGAGAGAGAAGACACUAACUAUGGAUCCAACAAGUUUUAAGAGUCUCAGAAAAAAAAACCAUUAGCAGCUAGUGGGUGAUCGUGUUAGCUGAAGAGGGCGUAAUCAAACCUGAAAGAAUGAGCCAGCUUUUCGGAAAGUUAAUCGGACUAGAGAGCGGUGAGGGGAUGAACCGUGGUUACAAGCGUCGAAUGCCCUGACUGGGUGGGGACUGAGUCCCGCUUAGAUUGAGCUUUCCCAUAUCCAGCAUCUUCCAGUUAACCGCUGAAGGGUCCGUCUCGAAAGGAAUGUUUGCCUCAAAGCAAGAGGCGGUGCUUCUGCUUCUUCGGUGGCGGCUGGAAAUCAGCUUCAGCUUCUCAGCUUCGUUCUUCAGCGACUGCAUCUGACCUGUGGAUUUUAUCACCAGAAAAAAAAAAAAGAUCAGGAAAAAGAUUUCAUAAGUUCUGUUGAGAGUUAAGAACACCAGAGCAAAAACAGCAAAACAUUAUUACAAACUUGGUUCUUGUAAAAUAAAAAAAAUUACAGAGCUUUUACUACAGCAAGCAGUAGCCUGGGUCCUAGAAACAGAAACUUCAAUUCGAAGCUUAUGUUUCUACAGCAAAGUGAAGCUGCAAUGAAAAUUCUAAUGGCAAAGCAAUUACUACUUAUUUGAACAACUCAAAUAACACUUGAGCAAAAGCUCCAGCCAAUCUAAACAGGCCCUUGCCUCCAAUCAGGGAGACUAAAUGCCACCGAUAUUGCAUCUUGAUAAGAUUUAAAUAUUUCUUAGUUAUUUAGAACACAUGGUUGCAACAGUUAACCUCAUUUUAUCAGUAGACAAUAAAGGCUUUUAUGGCUAUUAAUUAGAUAUCAAUGUUAGUUAAGAGUUCCCGAAUUGUAAUACUUAAAUCAAGGAGGCUGGGCAAUCUUACUACAACAAAUAUUAUCAAUACCAAAGAUUACAAAACUAGGUAAAUAAGUUGCAAAGAGACUCAUACUUACCAUCCUUAAAUACUUUCUCCUGACGAAGGCUGGCAAUCUGCCUCCUCAAUUGGUUAUUUUCAAGAGAAAGCGCCGCUCGCAGCUGAAAGAGAGAAGCAACUCUCGCUGCCAACUCAGCUCCCAAAGUCUAAAAAGGAUACAAGCUCUAAUCAAGAAUUUAAAAGAUUUAAAGAUUUCAGCAAAAAGUAAGGACUAUGUGCUUACCUGAAGUGAGUCAACAGCUCUCUCGAGUUCAGCUAUAUAUUGAAGUUUGCGAACCCGAGAUCUUUGCCCAGAUCGCCUGCAGAAACAUUGAAAAUAUGUGAAACUGGAAAUCAUAUAAUGAUUUUGCAAGGGAACAUUACAUAGCAUAAGUCUUAAGGUAGUGAUCAAAUCUCAAACAUAGUGCUUUCUGGAACUUGCAAAUGGUGCAAUACUUUGGGUGAAAAGCCAAAUUUGGCACCAUCAUACCAAAGAAAACUAUGAGAAAUUAUACAUCCUGAUUUCAAAUAUAUCUAUAGGGUUUCAAUUCAUUUGUCAGUGAAGUUUCAUCUGCGUAAAGAUUUCAUCUGUGUCCAUCUACUGCUUAAGAAAAAUGCAUAGUCAACAUCACUUGCUGCCAGGGCCAACCACAUAAAACACGAUUCUGACAUAACAUCUCUUCUAAGACAGUGUACUAACAAAAGGAGUAUUUGUGCAGGUCAAACUUCAAGGACUAAACUGUGAGAUUUAAAGCUGUGAGAGCAUAAUUCAGAUCAGGAAUUAGACUUCAAGGACCAAAUUUGUGGUAAACCCAUACCACUGAAACUUCUCUUUGCGGCUAGACUUAUAAACCAAGAAGUCAUAGGAAAACUUAAUCAAACCAAGAGUCACCUUGCCACACACCAAGGCUUGCCCGCAAAAGUCGUUAACCAGUUGGUCGGGAACAUGCUACACCGUUUGUUAAUAUAGGCUACUACGCCAAAUUUCUGAUAGGCUGAAUGAUUCUGAAUCAAUAAUCCCUCACUUAGUAAUAAGAUUUGUACAACAAUCCUCUACCAAUCAACAGUCAAAAUAACUGCGAAAUGAUUUGAACAGAAUAACUAAAAAAAUAUGAUAUUUUCCGAUCGGUCAUAACUUCAGAUGGCACGAUUUGCAAGAGAUAAAAUGUAGAAAGCCAACAACAAUUUUGUUCAAAGGAUCUUUUAUUUCACCUCUCUCCCCAUUAUUUGCAAAUCUAAAACUAUGAGAUAAGCAAUCACAGCUCUGUCCUCUCUUUAAAACUCCUGCAUUGUGGCUCAUUCACUCACCAGCAAAAAACAAUCUAGUAUCUGUUUUCCUAUUAGUCCCAACAUUUGCAAAAUUGUUAGUUCAUCAAUCAUGAUACUCUAUGUAUGCUCAAUAAUAUGAUUAAUCAGUUCUGAGAUCAAUCCUAUUUACUGUACAUUCUGUACUAAUUAUUUUUCUCAAUUCCUAAUUCCAAACAAACGUAAGUAGGUUUACAACUGAGCAAGAGCUAAUCUCACCUUGGAGCUUCAAAAAGAACUCCUCAUUUCUCUGACACAUCAGCAUCAAGUAUCUGGUAAAAACUGUAUUAGAUUUUUCGUACUAAUUUGACUAACUUACCUAUAACUUGGCAUAUUUACCACUAUCCCGACUCUAUUUCUCAGCCAUGCACUGCCUAAGUAACUAAUUUGUCCAUAUCUUCCGCAAGUCAAAUAUAUUAAACAAUCAGGGCAGCAUUUGUAGAAAGCUGCAAGAACAAAUGUUAUUUACUAUUGAGUGAGAUACAUUCAAUAUUUUAAGCAUAUUAGAUUUUCUUUCGAGUGAUUCAUAACAUAUCUAAGUAGAUUCACCAUUGACAAUAUAGUCAUAUUAGCCAGAGAUGACAAUUGCCUAACAGGCGUGGAAAUAAUUUAGAAAGAUAACAAACAUACAGAUGACCAGCAAUGAAUUACCUUCUUGAUGCCUUCUCUGGAUCAGGAUCAGCAGCAACACUAUUUGCAUCUACUUUAACACUAGACUCGCUAAUGUUUGAACAAGGUGCCAAAUCAGCAGUUAAGUACUGCAGAGGAUUACGAGGAACAUUUUCCAGCACAGCAUUCACCAUCGAGCUCUCCGAAGUGGUUAACCGACUCUUCUGCCUAGGCGAAUUAGGGCCAUAAACACAGCUAGCCUCAAUCCGACACCCAAUCUCACCUUCCACCUUAAUUUCGGACAAUUGUUCUGAAUCCUCAUUCGAUAUCGAAUCAUCUUCAUGAAUUGGGAAGAUUGGGCUUUGAAAACUAGUCAAAACAUUUAACAUAACAGCCGAAUCGCUCGAAGCUCUCCGAAGAGAGCUUCCGGACGGAAUUCUCUCCGGUUCAGUCAAGAGGUCGUCGAACCAAGAUGGUUGUUCAGUGAAUGAUGCUUGGGAGGGUGACCUAUGCUGUUGCGUGAACAAUGUACCGUCUCUAUUCGUAGUUCCAGAUGGGGAGUCCGGAGUUCGGGGAAGGGAACUCCGGUUCAGAAGUGGGAAACGAGGGGGGAGGUUUGCAGGGCGACUCAUAGUGACAAAAAUUAUAGGAAUAGCUUCUCCUCAGCUUCUGUAAACAUAUCCUUUCUACAUCUUCCUCUUGUUCCUGUACCAGAAACCCCAAAACUGUGAAGAUAACAACAAUGCAAAUAAUCCGAAGUGCUAGUAUUCAUUCCAACAAACAGUAAUCACUGAAACAAGUUCCAAAACACUGUAAAACAUAAAAAUGCACACAUCAACAAAGAACUCUGAAGCUAUAUUGCAAGGCAUUACUUGAGAUGAUCUUAAACCCCACAAACCUAAAGCCCAAUCAGGGAAAAACCCUAGAACUCCCCAUUUUAUUGCUCUAACACAUCAAAAUCCAAGCCGAAAUCAACGGCAUUACACUAAUCUCUCCACCACUACCCUGGAGACAUUAAUGGCGAUCAAAGCAAGCUUCAAUCACAACGAUCGCAUUGCUCCCGAGAUCAAGAAGAGCACAUUGCGCUCCAAAAAAUUAAAACCCUAGAAACCGGAUAUCUAAAACAUCACCAAUCGAACAGUAACAUCAAUCCAACUCCAAAACAACGAGGAAAAAAAGCAGCGACACAACCCUAACCACGUAUUCGCACCAAAAACACUUCAAAACCUCCAACAAAAGCCCUUAAAAAAAAUCAAAUUCCCACCGAAAAAUGCGAGAAAAAAUAAAAAUUAAUGCAUUGCGGCGAAGAAUAAGAACUCGACGGGAUCGGAUUACAACGAAAGCGAUGCGUAAGAGCGCGUAGAUGGGAAAUUAUUUGGGAAUAAUGUGAAUGCAAUGGUUUUAUUUUGCGAAAUUUUUUGGGCGGAGUUACUAGUACCUGGUUGUGUUCUAUAAUGAGAGAGAGAAAGAGAGAGAGAGAGAGAGAGAGAGAGAGAGGGAGGGGAGGGAGGAGAGAGAAAGGGUGUUGGGAGUAUUUAAAAGGAGGGUGACAAUGUAUGAAGAACCCCUUCACCUAUAAUAAAUUUUGAGAGCCCUCAAUUUCUCUUUUUUUUUUUAUUUAAGUUUUCAUACUUAGUUUUAUUAAAUUUAAUACUUUGAUUGAAUAUUAAUCAUAUUAAUUUGUCUAUUUUCAUUUGUUACAAAAUAAUUAAGAUUAUUAAAUUUUAAGCAAUCACUAAUAAAUUUGAUAAAUCUCUCAAAUUUUCUUGACUAAAACUAUGUAAUUUUUUUAAAAAAAUUUUGGAAGUUAAGUAGUCCAAAUCAGAAAAAUAGUUAGGGUACUAUUUCAAAAUGUAUAUAGUGAGGGAGUCUAUGUAAAAAAUCUUAUACCAUCAAUUAGUCUUACUUUUAUUAAAAAAUAAUUAAAAUUAUUAAAUUUGAUAAAAUUACUGAUAAAUUCCAAUUAAUUAUUUUUUUUUUAAAAAUAAAAGUUGAAACGUCUCAAUCAAAAAAGUAAAGUUCAGGGAUCAUUUACAAAUUUCCUAUAGGUGAGGGGUCUGCAUACAUUUUUACCUAAAAGGAGGUAAGCGUGGGGAUGGGUCUCCGUACAAGAAAAGCCAACUGGCGUAUACAUAUACGUACACUUGAUAUAUAUACUUGGUUAUAGUGGCCGUAUAAUACGGAUUAUUAUACCUACGUAUAAAAAUACACCACUACACCAUUUAUCCCCACCGUUUUAAAAUUUUUAUUAUCGAUUGAUAAAUAAAUAAAUAAGACCUUGUGUUAUGUUAAUCAUGAAACCAAUUAAGUGAGGUUUAAGAAUUGGUUCAAUUUGGGCCUAAGCCCAAUCCCUAAUCUUUCAAAUAAUGGGGGCCCGACUUCGUCGAGAACGGCUCGGCCUCGGGCUAGGCUUUUAUUUCUUUUGGCCCGAUGACACAAAUCGGAGUUGUUGGGCCGGAGAUAGAUUUUCGGUUGAACUAGAGUUCGGAUGAAAAUUAUUUUUCUUUCGCUGUUUGUUUUUAUAAUUAUGAGACAAAAUUUUUUGGAUAAACUUCAAAUACCACCCCCGUGGUUUCACACUUUCUCACUUUAGUACCCUGUGGUUUAAAAUGUAUUAAUUUAGUGUCCCGUAGUUUCAUUUUUCUCUUUUCAUCAUCUUUUAAUAUUUCGUUAAAUUAAAUACAAAAAACUUCAGAUUCCUCAUCUAGGUUUAUCGAAUAUUCAUUUUAGUAUUCUUUAGUUUUAACUUUGUCACUGAUUUAAGGAGAAAAGAUUAAUGAAAUUGAUAAUAAAAAGAGAAAAAUAAAACCACAUGACACUAAAUUGAUACACUUUAAACUAUAAGGUACGAAAGUGAGAAAGUGCGAAACCACAAGGAUGAUAUUUAAAGUUUUUCCAAAAUUUUUCUAGUUAUGUUAUUUGUUAGGCAACAAGUGAGCAACCGAAAAGCAGAAGGUGUAAGAUAAAGUUAAUAUUUUAUUCAUUUUUUUUUCCCAUAAUUAACUUCAAUUUGGGAUGGACCAAAGCCGAUUACGCUAUUUUGAACAUUUUGAGUUUCGACUGAAGGUGUAGUUAUAAUGAGCCAAGCAGUGAAAGUGAAUAUUUACGGUCGAAAAUCACUUCACACUUUUUCACUUUUGGUGAAAUAAACACAUUCCUAAUACCUCGUUGAAAGAUACUAAUUGAUAAAAAAAUCCUUUUACAUUAUAUGCAGGUCGCGUAAUUAGUUACUUUACAAGAAUAUAAAACAUUAUAGACACAGUAUUAUUUGCGUUAAGAAAUUAGUAGGUGUCAUAAAAAUUUGCCAAUUAUUAUUUACUGUGUGUUUAGUGAGAACUUUGAAGCUUAUGAUAUGGUUCACAAAAGUGAGUUGUGGCUUGGGAGAAAUUAUUAUCUUUAAGUUGUGGUGUGAGAAAAAUGAAAAUUUGUAUGAUUCAUGCGCGAGAAAAAUUAGCGAAUUUGAAUUGGAGUUUUCUCCUGAUUGAUUGUUCAGAAGAAACAACGCGUGAUUUAGAAGCGCUUUUUCGUCUUCUGCGAUGCUCCCGUAUGCACGAAAUUCAAAGCACCAGAGGGAGGAUCUUUCAGGAACAUGGAGGAAAAUGCCGGUUGCUUCCAGAAUCAUAAGUGGUGGAAAUUGUUAGCCCUGUAACUAGGGAUGCAAACGGGACGGAUCUGGGGACGGGAGAGUUCCCCCACCUCUCGCUCCAUUUUUUAUCUGGGCGGGGCGGAUUCGGGGCGGGUUAUUUUUCAUUUUAUUUUUGGCUCCCACUUACCGCUCCAUUUGGGGCGGAUCGGGACGGGAGCGGGGCAGGAGCGGAUUUUUAACGGAUCGGAGUAGAUUGAAGGAAGAAAAGAGUCUCCCGCUUCCCGCUCCAUUUACUUGGCGGAUCGGGGCGGAUUCGGGGCGGGUUAUAUUUUUCUAUAUUUUUUGUUCCCACUUACCACCCCAUUCNCCACAUAAUCGCACCAAAAACACUUCAAAACCUCCAACAAAAGCCCUUAAAAAAAAUCAAAUUCCCACCGAAAAAUGCGAGAAAAAAUAAAAAUUAAUGCAUUGCGGCGAAGAAUAAGAACUCGACGGGAUCGGAUUACAACGAAAGCGAUGCGUAAGAGCGCGUAGAUGGGAAAUUAUUUGGGAAUAAUGUGAAUGCAAUGGUUUUAUUUUGCGAAAUUUUUUGGGCGGAGUUACUAGUACCUGGUUGUGUUCUAUAAUGAGAGAGAGAAAAAGAGAGAGAGAGAGAGAGAGAGAGAGAGAGGGAGGGGAGGGAGGAGAGAGAAAGGGUGUUGGGAGUAUUUAAAAGGAGGGUGACAAUGUACGAAGAACCCCUUCACCUAUAAUAAAUUUUGAGAGCCCUCAAUUUCUCUUUUUUUUUAUUUAAGUUUUCAUACUUAGUUUUAUUAAAUUUAAUACUUGAUUGAAUAUUAAUCAUAUUAAUUUGUCUAUUUUCAUUUGUUACAAAAUAAAUAAGAUUAUUAAAUUUUCAGCAAUCACUAAUAAAUUUGAUAAAUCUCUCAAAUUUUCUUGACUAAAACUAUGUAAUUUUUUUUAAAAAAAUUUGGAAGUUAAGUAGUCCCAAUCAAAAAAAUAGUUAGGGUACUAUUUCAAAAUGUAUAUAGUGAGGGAGUCUAUGUAAAAAAUCUUAUACCAUCAAUUAGUCUUACUUUUAUUAAAAAAUAAUUAAAAUUAUUAAAUUUGAUAAAAUUACUGAUAAAUUCCAGAAAAUCUCUAAAUUUGCUGGCUAAAAUUAAUUAUUUUUUUUUAAAAAAAUAAAAGUUGAAACGUCUCAAUCAAAAAAGUAAAGUUCAGGGAUCAUUUACAAAUUUCCUAUAGGUGGGGGGUCUGCAUACAUUUUUACCUAAAAGGAGGGAAGGUAAGCGUGGGGAUGGGUCUCCGUACAAGAAAAGCCAACUGGCGUAUACAUAUACAUACACUUGAUAUAUAUACUUGGUUAUACUAGUGGCCGUAUAAUACGGAUGAUUAUACCUACGUAUAAAAAUACACCACUACACCAUUUAUCCCCACCGUUUUAAAAUUUUUAUUAUCGAUUGAUAAAUAAAUAAAUAAAUAAGACCUUGUGUUAUGUUAAUCAUGAAACCAAUUAAGUGAGGUUUAAGAAUUGGUUCAAUUUGGGCCCAAGCCCAAUCCGUAAUCUUUCAAAUAAUGGGGGCCCGACUUCGUCGAGAACGGCUCGGCCUCGGGCUAGGCUUAUUUCUUAUGGCCCGAUGACACAAAUCGGAGUUGUUGGGCCGGAAAUAGAUUUUCGGUUGAACUAGAGUUCGGAUGAAAAUUAUUUUUCUUUCGCUGUUUGUUUUUAUAAUUAUGAGACAAAAUUUUUUGGAUAAACUUCAAAUACCACCCAUGUGGUUUCACACUUUCUCACUUUAGUACCCUGUGAUUUAAAAUGUAUUAAUUUAGUGUCCCGUAGUUUUAUUUUUCUCUUUUCAUCAGCUUUUAAUAUUUUGUUAAAUUAAAUACAAAAACUUCAGAUUCUCCACCUAGGUUUAUCGAAUAUUCAUUUUAGUAUACUUUAGUUUUAAUUUUGUCAUUGAUUUAAGGGAAAAAGAUUAAUGGAAUUGAUAAUAAAAAGAGAAAAAUAAAACCACAGUGCACUAAAUUGAUACACUUUAAACUAUAGGGUACGAAAGUGAGAAAGUGCGAAACCACAGGGAUGAUAUUUAAAGUUUUUCCAAAAUUUUUCUAGUUAUGUUAUUUGUUAGGCAGCAAGUGAGCAACCAAAAAGCAGUAGGUGUAAGAUAAAGUUAAUAUUUUAUUCAUUUUUUUUUUUCAUAAUUAACUAUAAUUUGGGAUGGACCAAAGCCGAUUACGUUAUUUUGAACAUUUUGAGUUUCGACUGAAGGUGUAGUUACAAUGAGCCAAGCAGCAAAAGUGAAUAUUUACGGUCGAAAAUCACUUCACACUUUUUCACUUUUGGUGAAAUAAACACAUUCCUAAUACCUCGUUGAAAGAUACUGAUUGAUGAAAAAUAUCCUUUUACAUUAUAUACAGGUCGCGUAAUUAGUUACUUUACAAGAAUAUAAAACAUUAUAGACACAGUAUUAUUUGCGUUAAGAAAUUAGUAGGUGUCAUAAAAAUUUGCCAAUUAUUAUUUACUGUGUGUUUAGUGAGAACUUUGAAGCUUAUGAUAUGGUUCACAAAAGUGAGUUGUGGCUUGGGAGAAAUUAUUAUCUUUUAAGUUGUGGUGUGAGAAAAAUGAAAAUUUGUAUGAUUCAUGCGCGAGAAAAAUUAGCGAAUUUGAAUUGGAGUUUUCUCCUGAUUGAUUGUUCAGAAGAAACAACGCGUGAUUUAGAAGCGCUUUUUCGUCUUCUGCGAUGCUCCCGAUGCACGAAAUUCAAAGCACCUGAGGGAGGAUCUUUCAAGAACAUGGAGGAAAAUGCCGGUUGCUUCCAGAAUCAUAAGUGGUGGAAAUUGUUAGUCCUGUAACCGGUAAACCCAAUAUAUAUAUAUUCCAAAAAAAAAUCUCUCUUAUAUUUUACUAUUAUAUCAGAACUAGUGAAAAAGUUCGCGCUUUGCAGCGGGUAAAACUAUAGGAGUAAUUAAUAAUAAGAGAACAUCAAAUGAUGACGCUUUUUCCGAGGAUGAUGAUAGUAAAAAUGACGAUGAUCCAUUCAGCCGCUGCCGAGAGGGAAGAUNAAAAAAAAAAAAAAUCCAAAAAAAAAAAAAUCUCUUAUAUUUUACUGUUAUAUCAGAAUAUGUAGAAGAUUCUAAGUUAAAAUUCUGUCGAGUUCUCAAUUUUAUUUAACUCAUGCUCACACUGAGAUAUUUAAUCAAAGUUCACGCCGAGUUUUGAGCACACCUAUCAAAAAUCUUAAGUUCAAACGUAAAAAUGAGUGUUAAUUUCUCCCAUUUAACUUAAAUUUAUAUUUUUUUGCCUAUCGAAAAGUCUUAUGCUCAAAUUAAAUAUUGAAAUAUAAAAAUUAAAAAUAUUAUUUAAAAAAAACUAUUUUGUUUGGAGAGAUAGAAAAAGGAGGUAGAUUAGUUACUAUCACGGAUCAUGCUCAAGUCAUCUGAAUCAUACACUUCGUAAGUAAAGAUGUCCGUGGACCGGGUCGGGUCUGGAUAAUUAAUAUACUGUACUCAUACCCUAAAAAGGAAUGGCUAGAAAAGAAAUAUAUAUACCCUAUCCAUUUAAGGUCGGGUCGGGUCCGGAUCUGGGUACUAAAGUUACUAAUAUAUCCAUCGGAUCUAUUUGAGCGGGUUUGGGUAGUAACUACCCGUAUACUAUCCGUUCAAGACUGGAUAUGGAUUGGGCCUAGAUCAGGUACGAAUAUCCGUAUAAGUAUAUUUUUUUUAUAAACUUUAUUAAAUAGUCUAUGAACAAACUAUAAAGCCCACUAUAAAAAAACUCGCAUUCUAUUAAGUUGUACCUUCCAAUAAAAUUCAUUCAAAAGAAAAAAAGAGUAGAAAACAAAAAAAAGAAAAAAGAAAAAAGUAAUUAGUAAAAGAGACGGCUAGGAUUUCAUUAGGAUGAAAAUAUAUAGUGACUCAUCAUCUAUAAGUCAUAUUAAAAUUGAUCCUUCAACUUUAAAAUUUUUUUUUUUUUUUAUUUACUAUCGGAUAUUUCAUCAGGUUCGGAUUCGGGUCCGGAUUUGAAAACUAUUCUGAACCCUACCCAUUUAAAAGUUGGGUUCGGAUCGGGGCCAAAUCGAGUAUGGAUAUAAAAUAUCCGGACCCAUACCCGAAACUUUAAUGGGCAAUUUUUUUUAUCCGUAUAUUAUUCAUUUUUUAUCGGGUCCGGUUCGGGUCCGGUUGGAGUCCGGGUAGGGUCCGGAUCGGGUAUGGAAUAUCGAAUAAUUUGGACACCUUUAUUUGUAAGUUUUUCACUCCUUUUUAGUCAAAAAUAUUGUCUAGUAUUUGAACCGUGGCAAAGCUUUUUUUUAAUUUAUUCUUUGUAUGCAAAAAAAAAAAAAAAAAAGGUAAAAAUGAUAACAUGCCCUAUAAUAAAUUAUUAUCUUUAUGAUGCUGAAAUAAUCAUUUAUAUAUUCUCCAAAUUAAGUUGCUUAAGUAUUAUUAUGCAAGCAAUUAUUGGAAAAAAGUUAGUACAAACAUUCCUUCAAGCGAAAUAUAAAGUAUUCGUGCACACUAAAGUCCAUUAAUUAAGAUGCUGUAAAAUGCCUAAAUAAACAAGAUACAUAGAGCAGUAAUAUUUCAUUAAUAAUGGUGCGAAGCUGCAAAUAUUGAUGCAUAUAUAUACUUUAAUAAAUAGGAAAAAAAAGCAUCUAUAAUAUUUAUUUUGAAACAAAUAAAACAUAACAUGCCUUCAAUUUAAUUGAUUUAAAAUGAAAGGUAAUGUUAAUUAAUUCCCUUUUGUUAAAGAACAAAUUAGUUUAUUAGAUCUGAUUAAAUUCAGUAAAUAAAUAAUAACCAAAUUUACUAAAUAACACCAAUUUUUAAGACCGGGAAAAUUUCUUUAAGGGAAAACUUCAAAAACCCCCCCUGUGGUUUCGUGCAUUCUCACUUUGCUACCCUGUGGUUUAAAACGUAUCAAUUUGCCCCCCUGUGGUUUCGUUUUUAUUUUUUUGUUAUCAAUUUUAUUAUUAUUUUUUUUUAAAAUCAGUGACAAAGUUAAAAUUAAAGGAUACUAAAGUGACUAUUCGAUAAAUAUAGAUGGUUAUCUGAAGUUUUUUGUAUAUAAUUUAACAAAAUAUUAACGAAAAAGCUUCCGAAAAGAUAAAAAUGAAAUCACAGGGGGGUAAAUUGAUACGUUUUAGACCACAGGGUAGCAAAGUGAGAAUGCACGAAACCACAGGGGAGGUUUUUAAAGUUUUCCCUUUGUUUAAAGAAGCUGAGACGAGGCGUUUAUAGUUUUUUUUUAAUUUAAAAAAGGCAUAAAAAAACAAUAAAAUAAUAAAAUAAAAUAAUAAAAGAGCACUCAAUUGUAGCCAAUAGGGGCACGCAAAAACCCCGCCACUCGUUAACUAGAGUGGAAUAUUCUACACACAAACCUUUAUAUUACCGCAGCCAAUAAGAAGGCUCCACGUUGCCACAGAGCACGUGGUCUCCACCACACGGCUCUGCCACGUCAGCACAGUCGGCCCCACGAGAUCCCCUCGGGCUCCGCCACGUCAGCACAACUGGCCCCACGAGAUCUUCGAGGACCAACGAGGCCUCCCAGGACGUAACCAGUUAAAGAAACAUUUUUCAAUGGACCGGGUUCACCACGUCAUUAACAAUAUUUUUUAAAAUUUUAGAGGCUCUAAAUAGCUUAAAAUAAAUCUAAAAUUUUGGUAAGCUAUUUUAAUUAGUUAUUAAAUAAUCAUAAGAAUAUAUGGUAUUAAUAUAUCAUUACUGUCACUUAUAAUUCUUUCGUAAUAAUGUAUUAGGCUACACUAAAAUGACUCUUCUCAACUUAUUGUUGUUAUUUUGUUGGAUUGAGAUCUCUUUAGCUUUUGAUUUUGUGAAAUUGAAUAAUAUAUACCUAAUUUAGUUAAAAAUUAGUCUAAUUUUACUUUACUAAAAAAUAAUUAAAAUUAUUACAUUUAUUUUUUUGACUAAAAUUAUUUAAUUUUUUAAAAAAUAAAAGUCGAGUGUUAUGUAAUAACAAGAGUUUAAAGUUGAGAAGGCCAUUUCAAAAUGGCCUGUUGUGGAGGGGCUCUUUAUAAGUUUUUAACUCAUUUUUAAACAUACUAUUUAAAUCAAAUUUAUUUUUUUAUAAUUUGAAUUAAUAAUGUAUGUAGGACAUCGGUCUAUGGUGGACCAUGGUCCAGCAAUAAUUUGUUCCCUUGUUUCCUCACCUUUUCCACACUCUCUCAUCGUCGAGCGUUUUCUGUCUCUCUCUCGAGCUCUCGAGCUCCUCACGGUAACAUCCUGAAGAAACAGGAGAGAGACAAAAGGGGACGGUGAAGUCCCCACCCAAAACCCUAACCCUAGAUCUCGCAUUGGCGGUCGCCAUGGACAACCUCGGCACGGACACGGCGGAGAAGGCGCUCUCCUUCCUCUCCAAGGGGUGGCGCGAGGUGCGCGACUCCGCGGACGCGGACCUCCGCCUCAUGCGCGCCCGGGCGAGCUCCUUCAAGUCCCUCGCCGAUCGCGAGCUCGAGAACCUCCUCCACUCCGCUUCCGCGCUCUCCGCCCCGCCGCGGCCGCUCGCGGCGGCGGCGCCGUCGUCGUCUUCGUCGGCGGCGGCGGCGCCGUCGUCGUCCUCGAUCGCGGAGCUCGAGAUCGUGAAGCGGAUCCGGCCCAAGCUCUCGGAGAUCCGGCGCGUGUACUCGUCGCCGGAGUUUAGCCGGAAGGUUCUGGAGAGGUGGAACCCUAAGGCCUCGAUCCGGAUCGAUCUCUCGGCCAUCAGGAACGCUAUCGUGGCGGAGGUUGAUGAAUUUAGUGGAGUAAUCGAUCUCGUAAGGGAGGGGCGAGAUCGGGAAAGGAGGAGGAGGAGGGUGCGGUGGAAGGGGGAGGAGGGCGAGGAGUGGGAUCUGAUUCGGAAGCUGAAGACGGGUUUGAAGGAGCUCGAGCGCAAGAGCCAAUCGAGUGAGAUUUUGGGGAAUUUAAAGAGCAAUGAGUUCAUGGACAAAGUGAAAUUAAGCUUGGUAAUUUCGCCCUAUCUCCUUACUCUGUUUGCUUUCAUGAUCAUUAAUUAGGGUUUCGGUCGCUAAAAUUACUGAUUAGGUAGAGUAUUUUACUCUUAUUGCACUUAUAAGUUGGGGGUUUUGUUUCUCUUUCCUUAUGCACUAGAAAUUUGCACUUUUGAGGUUUGUAAUUGAGUGUUUGAAGGGGACUUCGGGUAGUCUCUGUUCACUGUAGUUAUUCAUGAAUGCAACACUGGCCUAAUGAGUAAAUAUGGCGGUUACUCGUCUGCUUAAUUGUGAAUUAUCCUGGAUAUCAUCCAUAGCUUAGAUAAAUGUUUAUGUGGUUUCUCAUGUUAAGUAGCCCCAGGAUGCAGAAGUAGCCUGUUUAUGAUUGCUGUAUUAUUAUCUGUGUUACAUGUCUUUUCUCUCAGUUACAUAUCCAAGCUUUGAAUAUUAUAAUUGAGAUAGGAGUUGUUCUUUUUCUUUGAUUGCAGAGAUCAAUCUGUAAGAAGCCUCAAGAAUCCAAGGUUUGUGAUAAACUUAUCUGGAGCUUUUCUUUUUUAUUAUUUUUAUACUAUAUUGAUCUUCCCCGUUUAUGCAAUAAUAUACUAGUCGCAAGAGAAAGCAGACACUAGGUUUUUCUCUCCACUAAUUUGUCUUGAUGAAUCAGACUCCUUUUCCGAACAGUACCUCCUACAAUAACUAAAGAGCGUUUAGUAACAUAAAUAGAUAUUAAUGUGUUUAAUUUUGUCAGCUUUUGAUUUUUACAUCAGUUCUCGUGUCAAUAGAAAUAUCUUUACAAGAAAAGAGAAUUUAAAACGAACUGGAUUUUGCUAUUAUCAUAACUAUUCUAGGUUUGCUAGCUAAAUUAUAAUUUUUAUAUUACGGUGCUUCCUGAUAUUUUAGUAUUGUCGCUACCGAUCUAUCAUUUUCAUGACAAAUUAGGAAAAGCUUGUAGUAAGUAGUUACUAUUGAUCUUAUUGCAGUACCUUCUUGUACUGCUUAAUAUUGAGAUUCUAGUUUUAUGGAUUUUCUAACAUAUUCUUGUGAUCUAAUGCAGGAAGUGCCUCCAUUGGAUAUACCCGAACUUUUGGCUUAUUUUGUUAAGCAAUCUGGGCCACUGUUUGAUCAACUUGGUAUAAGAAGAGGUAUGCAGACAAAACCCUAUUCCUCAGUAAGGUCAUAUUUUUUCACUACAGUUGUAGGACAAGUUGGAUUUCAUUUUGUCUCGUGAAACUACUUUUAUAUAUUCUUCAGUAACUUGUUCAGCAAUGUCAGCUUAUUAUUAGCUGACCAUGAGAAUCCAUGUUUUUCUCCUAAUUCUAUUUCUUACUACAUGAUCAUAAAAAAUGGAACUAUCUUUUUUGCCCGUAGCAUUUCCUUUUGGCAGAUAGAUUUUGGGUUUUGUCAUGGUUUGGUAACAAACCUCAGCUGUAUUAUUAGCUAAACCAAACAUUUUCUGUCGUGUCUCAACCUGAUGAUAACAUGGUGCUUUUUCCCUGUGUUUAUAUUUUAUGUAGAUUUCUGCGACAAAGUAGUGGAAGCCUUGUGCAAUAGGCACAAAGACCAGAUAGUGUGCAAUUCUAUUUCUGCAAGUGAAUUAUCGUUAGUUGGAAAUGAGAACAUUGCCGAUGAGCUCGAUUUAAGAAUAGCCAGUGUGCUCCAAAGCACAGGGCAUCACUAUGAAGGUGGCUUCUGGGAUAACUCAUCAAAACAUGAGAGAUCAGACGAGAAACGACGUGUUGCAAUCGUAACAACAGCAAGUCUUCCGUGGUUGACUGGAACUGCUGUAAACCCAUUGUUUCGUGCUGCAUAUUUGGCUAAAACCACCCAGCAAGAUGUAACCUUGGUGGUCCCUUGGCUUUGCAAGUCUGACCAGGAGCUGGUUUACCCUAACAAUAUAACUUUUAGUUCUCCAGAAGAACAGGAAGCUUAUAUACGGAACUGGCUGGAGGAAAGAGUGGGAUUUACGGCGGACUUCAAGAUCUCUUUUUAUCCUGGAAAGGUAGUAUCUCAGUGCGAUAUUUAAUGUUGUAUUUUGAUAUACAAGAAAUCUACACAUUACUCCUGGACAAUUAUCUAGUUUUAUAAUGUAUCUUUUCAAAAAUUUUGACUUUCAAGUGUGCCUCCAGAAAAACAUUAAAAAUUACCCUAUCAAACAAGCUUUAUACAGUAGAAAACCAGCUUUCUCCCAUGAAUUCAACAGAGUCCCUAACUUAACAUUGGGGAUAAUUUUGUAAGAAACUGCAGUUCGAGGGGUAUAUAUGACAAUUGAGAUUUACAGUGGUGCAUAUGUAGAUAGAUGAUUUGUAGGGGGAUAUAUUUGUGAAAUCACAUUUAAUAUUUUUCCUUUACAUGUAACAUUGACAUUGCAUAUUAUGUCUGAUAAACAGUUUGCAAAAGAAAGGCGAAGCAUUAUUCCUGCUGGGGAUACUUCACAAUUUAUUCCCUCAAAAGAAGCUGAUAUUGCUGUACUAGAAGAACCUGAGCACCUAAACUGGUAUCAUCAUGGAAAGCGUUGGACUGACAAAUUCAAUCAUGUUAUUGGUGUUGUCCACACAAAUUACUUGGAGUAUAUUAGGAGGGAGAAAAACGGGGCCAUUCAAGCUUUUCUUGUUAAGCAUAUUAACAACCUGGUCACCAGAGCACAUUGUCACAAGGUACCAUUUUAAUUAUCCUUUGUUGUUUCUAGUUAACGUGCGAUAGUUGCAGUGGUUUUUUUUGUUGUUUGUGAUAGUUACAUAUCUUGUGGACAUAUUCUAGGCUAUAGUGUAGCCUGCAUCUGGUCACCACGUGAACUUGUGUGCUGCCUAAUGAUUCCAAUUAGAGGCAUAAAAAUCCCUAUUCGAUUCAAAAUGCCAUAAUUACAAAGGUGGACAUAUUAGGAGGGAUGAAGUGAGAAUACAGAGGCCAAAUUAGGCACAAAAGACAAAACUACUAAGCAUUUGUUUUACAUGUUAAAUUUCAUUUAAAUUAAUUUAAAACAGAGGAUGCGACUCGGGGAGGUAAAAUUGGGUUGAAGGCCAAUCCUACCCCAAAACUACACAUGAAACUCGUCUGCGCAGUCCAAAACUGCUGUGGCUUAGUGGGCAGUGCUCGACUGACACGGCACUCCUGAUGCAGACAAUGACUUGUCCUUUUCUAGGGCAUUUAGCAAUGAAAGAUCUAAUAUAAGUCCCUUUAACUAUUGCAGGUCUUGCGUCUUUCUGCAGCUACGCAAGAUCUACCAAAGUCCGUCAUUUGCAAUGUCCAUGGUGUAAACCCAAAAUUCCUUAAAAUUGGCGAGAAAAUAGCAGCUGAAAUGGCGCGAGGGCAGCAGGCGUUUCCCAAGGGGGCAUAUUUUCUCGGGAAGAUGGUGUGGGCGAAAGGUUACAGGGAAUUGAUUGAUUUGUUGGCAAGACACAAGAUGGACUUGGAAGGGUUCAAGAUCGACUUAUAUGGAAAUGGUGAAGAUUCACAUGAAGUCCAAUCCGCCGCCAAGAAGUUGGACUUAAAUGUUAAUUUUCUGAAGGGAAGAGAUCAUGCUGAUGAUUCUCUUCAAGGGUAAGGAAUCGAUAUGGCAUGGGAAAUCAAUAGGUUAAAGCCAUAAGAACUCACUGAAAGUUUGAUUUUGUGCGAAAGAAAAAAAAAAGCAUUUGGUUGACGAAAUUUGAUUUGGUUUUUUUAAGAAAAGGAGAACUCUGAACUCACCGUAACAUCAAGUAGUUGUUGAGCUUUUGUACCAAACCAAACUAUUUGAGCCAAAUUUGAAGGGGACAAAAAGUUGGUGGGGUGUUGAAUUGAAACCAGAAAAUCUAUGUGAAGUUUUAUGAUUUUACCCAAAUCAGAACAUACCACAUUUCCUUUUUCUUCAAAAAUUAUGAUUACGAUUACUUACUCCUUUACUGCAUUUUCAGGUAUAAGAUUUUCGUCAACCCAAGCGUCAGUGAUGUCCUAUGCACCGCGACAGCCGAGGCCCUUGCUAUGGGCAAAUUCGUCAUCUGCGCCGACCACCCGUCGAACGACUUCUUCAAAUCCUUCCCAAACUGCUUAACCUACAAAACAUCAGAAGACUUUGUCGCGAGAGUGAAGGAGGCCAUGGCUCGCGAGCCCCAACCCCUCACCCCUGAGCAGAGACACACCUUAUCGUGGGAGGCCGCGACCCAGAGAUUCGUGCAGUAUUCAGAGCUCGACAAGAUUUUAAAUAACAAUGGGAAACAAACGAACGGUGUAAAAAGAUCGAUUCCGAUGCCGACUUUGUCGGAGGUUGUGGAUGGGGGACUAGCAUUCGCGCAUUACUGUUUCACCGGUAAUGAGAUGUUAAGGUUGGCUACAGGGGCAAUACCCGGCACGCGCGAUUACGAUAAGCAGCACUCUAUGGAUUUGCAUCUAUUGCCUCCGCAGGUACAGAAUCCUCUAUAUGGCUGGUAGUGUGGUAGAUACACUUAUGUGUGUAUAUAUAUUUUGUAGCGUGUAAGUAGUAUUCAUUAGUGAUGUUUAAGUGCUUGUGACUGUUCCGUGUAAAUUUGGUGGUUGUUGUUAAUCUAGUCAAUUAAAAUGUAAUGUAAAUUUUAGCAAAUUUUUUUCUUUUUUUUUUUCUCUCCUUUUUCUACUUCUCAAGUUACGAGUUGGGAAUGGUACACACGCAGUUGUGGUGCAGGUAAUCUGUAAUGGACACUUAUCAUCGCUCUUCAUGUAAUGUACCUACCUCUUAUCAAGAGAACCAAUUUAUCAGAUCAAUGCGCCAUUUAUUUUCGUUGGGCAUUUUGUUGAACCUUAAACACUCUUCGUCUAAAGACGCAAAAGUGUGUUCUCACUUACCAGGACCAUUAUCAAACACCUUGGAAGCAAAACAAUGUACUGUUUGAUAAAUUUUUGAAACAAAUAACGAUGUGGGACUAAAAGGGAAUUGCGUUAAAAAAUUGUUUAAAAUAAAGAAAAACUAAAAUUAUUGGCCCAUGCAGGUCUCGAACCUGCGACCUUCGCGUUAUUUGCACGACGCUCUAACCAACUGAGCUAAUAGGCCAAUUUAUGAAAUUUUAAAACGUAUAGUUAUACUAUAGAAUAAAUAUUUUUGAACAAAAUUAUUUUGAACAAAAUUAUUUUGAACAAAAUUAUUUUGAACAAAAUUAUUUUGAACAAAAUUAUUUUGAACAAAAUUAUUAUUUGUAAAGUUGGUGUAUCGACUUUCAUAGUUUUCAUAUAAUAAAAUUGUAUAGUCUAAUAGCAAUUAUAGCACCAACGUCUUUACUAAUAACAAUUCAUUCGUUCUACAAUUAUUGUAUCAAAAAAGGAAAAAAAAUAUUAUUUUAGUUAAGGAGAAUAAUCUCCAUGCAAAAAAAAAUUAUUUUAGCUGAACCAAAAUAGUGUUGAUACGGCAGCUUGAUCAUAUUCGGUACAUUUGUUACGGUAAUAAUAAUUGUUUUUAGAGAGAUAGAUAGGAUGCUACCCACUUCAUUUAUUUCUUUUAGAAAUAAACUUAGCUGAAAAAAUAAAUCAACUGUGAUUCAAACUUGAGACCUCGGAUACCAACCAUUAAGCUCUUUGCCACUUGCGUCAGGGACGGUCCGUAGUAAUAACAAUUUUGAGUUUUUAAUAUCACUAUCUCAAUCUAAAUUGAUUAACUUGUGGUACUUGUAGAUCCUUAAUUUCUUUUCUUUUUUUUUACUUCUACCUACGGUGUUGGAUCAUUAAGUUUCCAAAAGCUUAAAUUGUUAAAAUAUUGGUUUUAUUUAUUCGUUGCAUCAAAUAGAAUUUACUCAUCAAUAUUUUCAAGAUAAUUGUCACUAAACUGGUGUUUUAACGUGCAUAUAUAAUUUCCCCCUUGAGAGUUAAUUAUCAUACAAUAAAAUAUAUCAUCACACAAUUUAAAUAUGUGUGACAACAUUAUUUAAGACCGAUCGCCCCUAGAGUAGGUGACAAAAGACUUGGGAGUUGAUACUCAAAGAUCCAAGUUCGAAGUGCAGUUGUUUCACAUUUUCAACUAAGUUUUUUUUUAAAAAAAAAAUAAACGAAUCUGGUAACGUGUUAUCUGCCCCUCUCUCUCUCUCUCUCUCUCUUAAAAAAAAAAGAGAAAAAGGCAACACCACUUAAGAAUUUAUAAUUAUUAAAUGACUUAAUUUCUCUAGAUGCAAUUUUCUAAAAAAGUACAAUCUAUAUAUAAUUAUCCAGCUAUAGCUAUAUGUUGUGUCGACAUUUUCAAUCAUAAACUAGGACAUUGUGAAGUGUUCUCCUCUAAAACUAAUUAUUUGUCACCUUCUACAACCUAGUGUUUGGCACUCUAUAUUCUCAGAGCUAUUUUGUGUUUUCAUGCAAAGUCAAUAUAGUUACAGUAUAUGUACAUUAAUUGACAUAUGACAUCUCAAAUCUACAAAGGAAGGUUCAAUUAUAGUUACAGUAUAUGUACAAUUCUACAUUGAUAUAUGACAUCUCAAAUCUAUAAAGGAAGGUUCACUAAAAAAAGAAAAAAAAAGAAAAAGAAAAAGAAAAAAAAAAAAGUUCUAUACAUUAAACAAGGGUUUUCAAAUUUGUUAACGAGCUAGUACUGCUAUAUACACGAAAUGAUGCUUUUAAAAUUUUUCAUAAAUUUCUUUUUAAGAUUUUUUUUUUUUUUGUUUUUGUUGAUUCGUAAAAAGUAUAAUUGAAUAUAUAAUUGGUUUAAUUAGUCUCAGUGUAAAAACUGUAUCCUUUUAUUUUAAUAAAACGGUCGUUUCUAUACAGUAGCUGAGCUAAAUUGCUGUCACGACUUUUAAAGCUGGCACCAUAUUAUAAACAAAUUUAUCUAAUAUUUUUUAUUUUUAUACUUAGAAAAAAAAAAGUUGGCACCAUCUAGUUUAGGUGAAAUAUUAUUAAUUUAUUAAAUAGGCGUGCAAACAUAUAUUAUUGGCCUAAUCGAGUUGUGGCCUUUCCCAAUCUACUAGAACCUUUACAUAAGGGACAAUUUUAUUUUUAUUUUUAUUUCAUUUUUAUUUGUUUAACCUUUUCCUUUUUACGUACACUGACAAAAAGCUGUUCCUCGCAAGUACAAUAUUCUUCUUGUGGUAUUAUAAUACUAUUUAAAAAAUUACACUGUUGAUAAUCAGUGAUAAAAUAUAUAUAUGUUUUUUUUAAAAAAAUUGGGUCAUUACGAUUUCAAAACUAUGUUUCGAUUUCUCAAAGUGAAGAAAUUUGGUUAUGACUGUUUAAUUUUAAAAAAAAAAAAAUUAAAUUAGAAAUAUAAAACAACUAGGUAUUGAUCAACAUUAGAAUUUUAAAUAUUAAUCAUCAAAUUCUUAGUUAAUUGUGUUACAUACGGACGUUAAAUAAUAACAACUUAAUUAAGAACGAGCAAAAAAAUAUUAAAAGAUAUCUGUAUUAAUUAAAAUUCUCAUCACUAGCUAGAUCUCAUACUUAAGGCUCAGAUACUAUUACAUAAAACCUAUGGACGAAGAAAAAGGAAAUAAAAAACUAAAACCUACUUCCAUGCACGUACGUGUAAUGGUAUAAUAAUACAAUAAUAUUUAAGAAGAUGAUCGAUCCCUUCUAUCAACUCUCAAAAAACAAACAAACAAAAAAACAAAAAAUAUGACCACGAAAAACAAUCUCUUCAUGUAGAUCAAAAUUAAUUACUCACGACACUCGACAACGUUCCCCUUCUCAACCUCAUGAUCAAACGUGAUCGUCGAUGAAAGCGUCGACAACGGCGAACCAGAAUCCGAACCCGAACGCAAACCCGAAAUUAACUGCGAAACCGAAAUAGAAGAAGCAGAAGCGGAAGCGGAAGCGGAAGUGGAGACUAAGCUCACGAGGAGAUCCACGAAGGCCCCCACAAUGAAUGCGUGCGUUUUUUGACCGUUCACUUUUAAAUACCACGUGAGCAGUUCCUCGAGCCCCUCCCAGUCGCUAACCGCAUGCGCCACCACCAUCUCCUCCAUGGACGCACGGAAAUCUCUAUACGGGUCCGUUGACUCCACGAUCAACGCCACGCUCUCCUCGAACGGCGCGCCCGCCGAGUCAGCGUUGACUUCCCCCUCCUCCUCCUCCUCUCUCUUCUCCAUGCUAUUGUCUACAUCGUCGUUGUCGUCGUCAUCGUUGUUGUUAUGGUUGUUGCGACGUGCGUGCACAAUGGACCGGGUCGUGGCGCCCGGUUCGAAGAAGAGCCGGUCGGACCGGACCCGGACCGGGACCGGGACCAGUGCUUCGUGAGUCGGGCCGGGGAGUAGGCUCUCGGUGUCAUCGGAGGCGGUGGAGUAGGCGGUGUUGUCGUAGACCGAGUUUGCGGUGUUGUAGAUGGAGGCGGCGGCGGAGGCGGCGUGGGCGCGAAAGGAGUUGGUUUUUGGGUGCUUGCAUGAAGAAGGCCAUGGCCAUGAAGAAGGUGGAGGAGGGUAGCAAAAGUAGUAUUUGUUGUAAGAGGAGGAGGAAGAAGAAGAGGAGGAGGAGGAGGAGGAGGAGGAGGAGGAGGAGGAGGGUCUUGGGUUGUCUCUUAGCUUGAAGAGGAGAGAGCUCAAGCCCCUCUUGCCCAUUAAAAAUGGCUUCUUCUGCUUCUGCUUCUAGCUUUGGAUUAGCUUGUGAAGGAGAUCGAAAUGGAGGAGGUGGUGGAAGUGGAGGAGGAGAGAGUGGGAAUGUAGAAAUGGAGAGAGAGAGAGAGAGAGAGAGAGAGAGAGAGAGAGAGAGAGAGAGAGAUUAGGUUAGUGUUGUUUUGAUGGGGGGUUUUGUAUUUAUAAAGGGAGAGGACGGUGGAGGGGAGGGAAUAGCUAAUGAGAGAAAGAGAAGGGGAUUAUGGGGAGAGUGGGAGAAAUUCUUGCAUGGACCUGGUUUACCAUGUCAUCGGUUGACUGGAUAAACCCUCAUUUGCAUCAUUAUGUUCUACUACACUAUACUAUAGUUUUUCAUCUGUUAAAGAAGAUAACUUUUAAAUAUCAAAAAACUAUAGUUCGAUUAAGUGACGAAGAUUGAUUGGAAGAAGCACUACAAGACAAUAUAAUUAACUAUACAAGAAAAUAUAAUUACCACCUAUCACUUUUUAGUUUUUUUUUAAGUUAGUCUUUCUGCUCUUGUCGAUCUAUUCUUUUUCUUGACUUUUUACUGUCAUCGAGAUCUUAUUUGUCUUACUUCAUGUAGCUAAAUUUAUUUCUCUAAUGAAUAAAGCAGAUAGUGUGCUAUCUUUCUCUCUCUCAAAAAAAAAAAAAAGCAGACGAAAUUAUAUGACAAUGCGCGCGAUCGAACAUGACGCGUAAUUAUUGAGAAUUCAAAAUCGAUGUGAUAAAAAGUAAUAUGUUUAAUUGAUCUAUAAAUUGAUAUAUGGCUAAACACAAGAUCCAUAUAUGUUUGGUGGACUAUGUACACACAAUUACAAUUCUCAUGUAAGCAUUGAACAAAGUGAUAUAAGGGGUGGAAUAACCCCUUAACCCCCAUUUUAUCCCCAAACGCUCCAAAAAAUAGGUGGGGUUAGCUAACCCUACCUAACCCCACCUCAAAUAAAUUAUUCCGGGUUAGCUAACCCCACCUAACCCCACCAAACUCCAACCAAAUACUAUUUUCUAUUCAUAAUAACCCACUAUCUUUUUUAUCACACCUACUCCAAUCAAUCAUUAUCCUUCUUUAUCAAUCAUUAUCUUGUUAUCCUACCUACUCCAACCAAACACUAUUUUUUAUUAUUCUAGAUUAACUCCAACCCCCAACCAAACAUAAAAAAACUUUAACUCCGAACUUAACUCUAUCCCUAGAAUAGCUAUUUUUUUCUUAACCCCGAACCAAACGGAGACAUAGAGAAUUCAAUUUCUCAUUUAAUAAACGCAUUGAAUGUUGUGUGCAAAUGGAGAGCAGUGAUGUAGUGUUCCCUUUCCUUGUGUUUGUUUGGAAAAGUCUCAUAUGUUUGGCAAGAAUUGGAAUGAUGGGGAGUUGAUAAAUCAAUCUUAUCAUGUUCAGGCUCUCCACCACUUUGGUUUUUAUUUCACUUUUUUUAUAAGGGGAUUGCAAUAUUUAAUUAAUUAAGUCGAUCAUCUUUUAAACAUACUAUAUUAAAUAAAAAAAAAACAAAUCAUUUUGCUUUGCAAGUUACUACUAGCAUUUGGCAUGCUUGUGUAUUUCACCUGACACAUAAAAACAGCAGCAAAAUGUGGGACGGCUUCAACUGCAUACAAGAACAAAAUUUGAAUUUAUAUACAAACUGUUGGAUGUGUGAUUUGCUCUGAUACUAAGGGGUUGUUUGGUUGUAUGCAUUUCCAACUGCAUUGCAGUUGGAAAUGCAUGCAUCUAUUAAUUUUUUGUUUGGUUUGGUGUAGUUAGACCGAACUGAUGCAGUUGCAUCUGCACGAGAAGGCCCAACUGCAGCAGUUGGUACUGCAGCCAAAUUGACCGUAGUACCAACUAUAACAGUUGAGCCGGAGUCGGCUCACCCAUUAAAAAAAUAAACAAAGUGUGAUUUUUUUUUCAUACACUUCUUUUUUCUUUUUUUUUUUUUUCAAAAAUACAUAUUCAUUUAUUUUGAACAAAUUCAUAAUAUAUUUACAUUUAAGAUUUAUUAAAUUCAUAUAUAAUUUUAUAAUAUAUAAAUUAUAUAUAGAUAUAAAAGUUUUAAUUAAUAUUUAAAACAUGAUUACGUUAUGCUCAGAAGAGGUAAUCUUACAUUUCUAUAUAAAAAUUGAUAGAAUUUACAAAUACAAAUCUCAACUGCAGCCUACCAAACAGAGGAAAUGUAACCGCAGCAGUUGCAACUGUAUAAAACCAAACAGACUAGGUGUAGUUAUAACUGCAGCAUUUGUAACUGCAUGCAUUUCCAACUACACUGUUUCUACAACUACAUCCAACCAAACGGCCCCUAAUUAGUGAAACUGGUAUUUGUACUGAUAUCGAAUAUAUAAUCCAAAAUUUAAAUAAAACAAAAUAAUAUAGAGAAGAGAUAUUGUGCGGAAAGGAGAAAACUAAAUUAAUACUUUAUUAAUAAAAAGUAAUUAAUUACAUUCUGUGCAACACCCAUGCAGCUAUGUCUACUGUGAUUUUUUCAUCUAAUUAAUCCAUACCUAACUAUAUAUACCUAUCAAGUCCAACUUUUACUUUGGAUAAUUAUAAAUCCUAUUCUAAUUAUGUAAACUUUUAAAUAUAAUCAAUGUAUAAAUUGAAUAUACUCGUAGUUGAGAUGGGUUAUUUUCGGAAGUACGAAUAAAUAAUAUUGAAACAUAGCGAAAUUUAAAUUAUUUUCAAAAGAUUUUAAAUCUAGUUUAAUAAAUGAUGAGUUGAAAAUCUUAUCAUCAAAAACAACUACAUUCCUGCUUCUAAAAGCACUCUUUCUCGUAUACAUAGGACAACAACCUAUUCCCAAGGAGAUGUCACCAAUCUUAGCACUUAAUUAAUUAAUCAUCAACAUUGCUUUAAGAUUCGAACUUGUCGCUUUACGUAACCAGUUAAAUUAAUACUAUGUGAUGGGAGUGUAUCUUUGGAGCAAGUAGCUAGUGUGGCUUUUUCGAUGCAACGAAGCAAAAGAGAAUCCAAGGGAGCAUGAUAUUCAUUUCUUAUGGUACACUGUCUCUAGUUAGGUAUAUAUUUCCUGUNGAUAUGUUGUGUCGACAUUUUCAAUCAUAAACUAGGACAUUGUGAAGUGUUCUCCUCUAAAACUAAUUAUUUGUCACCUUCUACAACCUAGUGUUUGGCACUCUAUAUUCUCAGAGCUAUUUUGUGUUUUCAUGCAAAGUCAAUAUAGUUACAGUAUAUGUACAUUAAUUGACAUAUGACAUCUCAAAUCUACAAAGGAAGGUUCAAUUAUAGUUACAGUAUAUGUACAAUUCUACAUUGAUAUAUGACAUCUCAAAUCUAUAAAGGAAGGUUCACUAAAAAAAAAAAAAAGAAAAAGAAAAAGAAAAAAAAAAGUUCUAUACAUUAAACAAGGGUUUUCAAAUUUGUCAACGAGCUAGUACUGCUAUAUACACCAAAUGAUGCUUUUAAAAUUUUUCAUAAAUUUCUUUUUAAGAGAUUUUUUUUUUGUUUUUGUUGAUUCGUAAAAAGUAUAAUUGAAUAUAUAAUUGGUUUAAUUAGUCUCAGUGUAAAAACUGUAUCCUUUUAUUUUAAUAAAACGGUCGUUUCUAUACAGUAGCUGAGCUAAAUUGCUGUCACGACUUUUAAAGCUGGCACCAUAUUAUAAACAAAUUUAUCUAAUAUUUUUUAUUUUUAUACUUAGAAAAAAAAAAGUUGGCACCAUCUAGUUUAGGUGAAAUAUUAUUAAUUUAUUAAAUAGGCGUGCAAACAUAUAUUAUUGGCCUAAUCGAGUUGUGGCCUUUCCCAAUCUACUAGAACCUUUACAUAAGGGACAAUUUUUUUUUUUUUUUAUUUCAUUUUUAUUUGUUUAACCUUUUCCUUUUUACGUACACUGACAAAAAGCUGUUCCUAGCAAGUACAAUAUUCUUCUUGUGGUAUUAUAAUACUAUUUAAAAAAUUACACUGUUGAUAAUCAGUGAUAAAACUUUUUACGUAAUUGUAACUAGUUUAUCCAAAUAUAUAUAUGUUUUUUUUACAAAAAAAUUGGGUCAUUUCGCUUGCAAAACUAUGUUUUGAUUCUCGAAUGGAAGAACUUUGUUAUAGCUAAUCAACUGUCGCAUUAUUUUCGUGUCGAAUACGAAUCAUUUCGAAUAUGUUGUUCAAUAUUUUUUUUUUGAGAGAGAAAGAUUGUAACGUUUUAAUUUAUAUUAUUUAGAAAUAAUCCGAGUUAGAAAUAUAAAACAGCUAAGUAUAAAACUUGAAAUUUUUAAAUACUAAUUAAUCAUCAAAUUCUUAACCAACUAUGGUAGAUAUGGUCGUUACAACACGUGCAAGUUAAUUAGGAGAGAGUUGUACAUGUGUUAAUUAAAAUUCUGAUCACUCUCACGCUUAAGACUCAGGUACUAUCACAUAAAAUCUACUAGCAUCGAAAAAGAAAAAGUAAAAAAAAAAAAGAAAAGAACAACGCCUACUUGUAUGUUCGUAUAAUGAUAUAUAAUACAAUAAUAUUUAAGAUGAUCGAUCCCUUAGAUCAACUCUCAAAAAAGGAACAAAAGAAAAAAGAGACCAAGAAAAACAAUCUCUUCAUGUAGAUCAAAAGUAAUUAUUCGCGACAACCAACCACGUUAUUCUCCUUCUCAACCUCGUGAUCAAACGAGAUCGUUGAUAACGGUGAAUCCGAAUCUAAAUCCGAACCCGAAAUAGCAGAAGCAGAAGCAGAAGCGGAGACUAAGCUCACGAGGAGAUCCACGAAGGCCCCCACGAUGAAUGCGUGCGUUUUUUGACCGUUCGCAUUUAAAUACCACGUGAGCAGUUCCUCGAGCCCCUCCCAGUCGCUGACCGCAUGCGCCACCACCAUCUCCUCCAUGGACGCACGGAAAUCUCUAUACGGGUCCGUUGACUCCACGGUCAACGCCACGCUCUCCUCGAACGGCGAGCCCGCCGAGUCAGCGUUGACUUCCCCCUCCUCCUCCUCCUCUCUCUUCUCCAUGCUAUUGUCUACAUCGUCGUUGUCGUCGUCAUCGUUGUUGUUAUGGUUGUUGCGACGUGCGUGCACAAUGGACCGGGUCGUGGCGCCCGGUUCGAAGAAGAGCCGGUCGGACCGGACCCGGACCGGGACCGGGACCAGUGCUUCGUGAGUCGGGCCGGGGAGUAGGCUCUCGGUGUCAUCGGAGGCGGUGGAGUAGGCGGUGUUGUCGUAGACCGAGUUUGCGGUGUUGUAGAUGGAGGCGGCGGCGGAGGCGGCGUGGGCGCGAAAGGAGUUGGUUUUUGGGUGCUUGCAUGAAGAAGGCCAUGGCCAUGAAGAAGGUGGAGGAGGGUAGCAAAAGUAGUAUUUGUUGUAAGAGGAGGAGGAAGAAGAAGAGGAGGAGGAGGAGGAGGAGGAGGAGGAGGAGGGUCUUGGGUUGUCUCUUAGCUUGAAGAGGAGAGAGCUCAAGCCCCUCUUGCCCAUUAAAAAUGGCUUCUUCUGCUUCUGCUUCUAGCUUUGGAUUAGCUUGUGAAGGAGACCGAAAUGGAGGAGGUGGUGGAAGUGGAGGAGGAGAGAGAGGGAAUGUAGAAAUGGAGAGAGAGAGAGAGAGAAAGAGAUUAGGUUAGUGUUGUUUUGAUGGGGGGUUUUGUAUUUAUAAAGGGAGAGGACGGUGGAGGGGAGGGAAUAGCUAAUGAGAAAAAGAGAAGGGGAUUAUGGGGAGAGUGGGAGAAAUUCUUGCAUGAACCUGGUUUACCAUGUCAUCGGUUGACCGGAUAAACCCUCAUUUGUAUCAUUAUGUUCUACUAUACUAUACUAUAGUUUUUCAUCUGUUAAAGAAGAUAACUUUUAAAUAUCAAAAAACUAUAGUUCGAUUAAGUGACGAAGAUUGAUUGGAAGAAGCACUACAAGACAAUAUAAUUAACUAUACAAGAAAAUAUAAUUACCACCUAUCACUUUUUAGUUUUUUUUUAAGUUAGUCUUUCUGCUCUUGUCGAUCUAUUCUUUUUCUUGACUUUUUACUGUCAUCGAGAUCUUAUUUGUCUUACUUCAUGUAGCUAAAUUUAUUUCUCUAAUGAAUAAAGCAGAUAGUGUGCUAUCUUUCUCUCUCUCAAAAAAAAAAAAAAGCAGACGAAAUUAUAUGACAAUGCGCGCGAUCGAACAUGACGCGUAAUUAUUGAGAAUUCAAAAUCGAUGUGAUAAAAAGUAAUAUGUUUAAUUGAUCUAUAAAUUGAUAUAUGGCUAAACACAAGAUCCAUAUAUGUUUGGUGGACUAUGUACACACAAUUACAAUUCUCAUGUAAGCAUUGAACAAAGUGAUAUAAGGGGUGGAAUAACCCCUUAACCCCCAUUUUAUCCCCAAACGCUCCAAAAAAUAGGUGGGGUUAGCUAACCCUACCUAACCCCACCUCAAAUAAAUUAUUCCGGGUUAGCUAACCCCACCUAACCCCACCAAACUCCAACCAAAUACUAUUUUCUAUUCAUAAUAACCCACUAUCUUUUUUAUCACACCUACUCCAAUCAAUCAUUAUCCUUCUUUAUCAAUCAUUAUCUUGUUAUCCUACCUACUCCAACCAAACACUAUUUUUUAUUAUUCUAGAUUAACUCCAACCCCCAACCAAACAUAAAAAAACUUUAACUCCGAACUUAACUCUAUCCCUAGAAUAGCUAUUUUUUUCUUAACCCCGAACCAAACGGAGACAUAGAGAAUUCAAUUUCUCAUUUAAUAAACGCAUUGAAUGUUGUGUGCAAAUGGAGAGCAGUGAUGUAGUGUUCCCUUUCCUUGUGUUUGUUUGGAAAAGUCUCAUAUGUUUGGCAAGAAUUGGAAUGAUGGGGAGUUGAUAAAUCAAUCUUAUCAUGUUCAGGCUCUCCACCACUUUGGUUUUUAUUUCACUUUUUUUAUAAGGGGAUUGCAAUAUUUAAUUAAUUAAGUCGAUCAUCUUUUAAACAUACUAUAUUAAAUAAAAAAAAAACAAAUCAUUUUGCUUUGCAAGUUACUACUAGCAUUUGGCAUGCUUGUGUAUUUCACCUGACACAUAAAAACAGCAGCAAAAUGUGGGACGGCUUCAACUGCAUACAAGAACAAAAUUUAAAUUUAUAUACAAACUGUUGGAUGUGUGAUUUGCUCUGAUACUAAUUAGUGAAACUGAUAUUUGUACUGAUAUCGAAUAUAUAAUCCAAAAUUUAAAUAAAACAAAAUAAUAUAGAGAAGAGAUAUUGUGCGGAAAGAAGAAAACUAAAUUAAUACUUUAUUAAUAAAAAAUAAUUAAUUAUAUUCUGCGCAACACCAAUGCAGCCAUGUCUACUGUGAUUUUUUCAUCUAAUUAAUCCAUGCCUAACUAUAUAUACCUAUCAAGUCCAACUUUUACUUUGGAUAAUUAUAAAUCCUAUUCUAAUUAUGUAAACUUUUAAAUAUAAUCAAUGUAUAAAUUGAAUAUACUCUAUCUCUAACUAAAUUUUAGAUUAAGUUUGGAUUACUAUUUCAACACAUAUAUUUACGUAGUUGAGAUGGGUUAUUUUCCGAAGUACGAAUAAAUAAUAUUGAAAUUAACAUAGCGAAAUUUAAAUUAUUUUCAAAAGAUUUUAAAUCUAUAGUUUAAUAAAUGAUGAGUUGAAAAUCCUAUCAUCAAAAACAACUACAUUCCUGCUUCUAAAAGCACUCUUUCUCGUAUACAUAGAACAACAACCUAUUCCCAAGGAGAUGUCACCAAUCUUAGCACUUAAUUAAUUAAUCAUCAACAUUGCUUUAAGAUUCGAACUUGUCGCUUUGUGUAACUGGUUAAAUUAAUACUAUGUGAUGGGAGUGUAUCUAUGUAGCAAGUAGCUAGUGAGGCUUUUUCGAUGCAACGAAGCAAAAGAGAAUCCAAGGGAGCAUGAUAUUCAUUUCUUAUGGUACACUGUCUCUAGUUAGGUAUAUAUUUCCUGUUCCUGUGGACAAGAAAGGUUUAAUCUAUAGCUAACUGGGUUUAAGUUAAUUAAUUAAGUCGACUUAUACAUGUAUAUAAUAGAUUUUUUAUACUAAUUAAUCCUUUGUGCUCUAGUGGGUCUCCUAUAGGCUAUAGCUAGGUGUUGAGUCGGAGCUAUACAUAUAUUUUUGGCUUUUAUCAGUGCUUUUAUAGUAGUGCUACAAUAGAGCGAUAUGACUAAAAAUUAAUAUCAUUUCAUUGUUCAAUUUAUAUAGCUUCCAUUAUUCCAUCAUUUUGGAGAAAGAUCAGUAUAUCUUUUACGUCGGAGCUAGCUUCUACUUUUAAGUUUUAACUGUUUACUUUAAAAACAAAAUUAGAUAUUUUUUUGUAUGUUCGGUAACUUCUGUUCUAAUGCCAAACAUAUGAUAUAUAGAAAGAUGAUGAGGUCAAGGACAAUAAUUUUGAUAUUUUCUCACUAUUCUUCUCUUAGGAACAAUACCCUGUAAUCGAAUUAGGAUAUAUAAAUAUAUAUAUAUAGAGCUGGAAUAGUAUCGGUAGUAAAUAGGCUCCGUUGCCACCAAUUUAUUUUUGAUGAUGGAGCCUACAAAUCGAUGAUCGACACCGUUGAACAUAAUUUAUACCAUUGGAAGCAUCUAGAAAUCAAUUUUUAUUUUUUUUCGUUAUUGUUUUGUUAUCCAUCAAGUUGACUCAAAAAUGAACGGCUGAAAAUGAAUAUCAUUUAAAAAGUGUUGAUAGAAGUUUUGUAAUUAAGAUUAAGAGUAUAGAUCUUGUUCUAAAUAGUUUAAACAAUUUUCUAACAAAAAUUCAAUUGAUUUGGAUAUCUAUACGCCGUUAAACGAGAAAACGUCUUAUAUCGACUAUUAAAAUUGUAAAUUUUGAAACUCUUUGAUCAUUAGGUUAAUGAUGUCAGAAAGAUUUGAAAUUUGGUUUUUAGAUACUUCGAGUGGUAUAGAUCAUGUUCAACGGUGUCGAUUAUCGAUUUGGAGGCUAGUACAUCAUCGAAAAUAAAUUGGUGGCCGGCAACGGAUCGAGUCCGUUUGUUACUGAUAGCAUUCCAGCUUAACUCUAUAUAUAUCUACAAUAAUCCCCAUGGCACCUACACAAUAUUGUAAACCUAUAUAUCUAUCUUAAUUGUUAUUCAAAAUGUUCCCAGCUACAUGUAGCUAAAGUUCAUGUAGCUUGCAUGUGGCCUUAACUUCACUUUGUUUCUCUUUAAGCUUAAAAGCUCUUUUAGUUUCUUUUUAUAAAGUAGUGAUUAGAAUCUAGCUAUAUAUGACAAUCCUUUCUGUGCCUUUAUCUUGCUUUUCUACAACUACUACACAUGCAUGCAUGCACAGUAGUUUUUAAUUUCUCCAAGCUUAGGGUAUGGAUAGAGAAAAUCUUAAUUAUCAUAAUCCUAAAAUUAAUAUGUAAUUAACAUGCUCCUCACAGGAGAUAAAUACUGUUUGUUUUACUUAUGGAUGCAAAAGUAUUAUUCAGUAGAGAUAUAUAUUCAAAGAAAUGCAAAAGUUUUUUCACUAUUUUUUUUUAAAAAAUUGUAUUUCUAUAAAAGUAAAAGUUUUAAAUUUAAUUUUUUUUGGUUUUGGUUCCUAAAAUUAAUAUUAUUAUUGCUUCCUUAAUUCCCUCAUAUUUAACCAAAAUUUCUUAUUCCUUUUUUAAAAAAAUUUGCUAGGUUCGGUAGCAGCUCCUAUAAGGAUCGAAUCAAUUAUAGAAGUCUUGUUUAGGUAAUUAAAGAGUUGUAUGUAUUAGUCUCGAGACGUCUCAACGACAAACGCACUAAUUCGUGUUGUUUAUAAGUGAUAAUUAAGGUGAUUUAAGGGGAAAAGAUGCUACUAAUUAAACUUAUUUUUCUUUUUUUUUUCUUGCUAUUUGCACAUGCAAAGUUGACCACUGAUUAUUUUUUAAUACUACACUUCUUUCGGAAAAGCUUAGUAUUUGGGCUUUAAACAAAUAUUUCUCAUCAAUUACUCCCUAAAGUAGUCAUAUACAACUAAUAUAGUAGUGACAUUUAAACGACCUUUUUAACAAGGAGACCAUGAAUUUGUGGCUAUUGCACCCAAAAACACGCGCAUUUGUAUGGCCUCUUAUUGCCAUUUUAAUAUUUUAUGCAUAUUAUUAUUAAAUAUAAUUAAAUUUUGCUAGGUUUGUCGACAGUUUAAGGGCCAUUUUUUUUAAAAAAAAUAGCUACAUAUAUAGGAUUUUAUUCUCUUUGUUGUUUGUUAGUGGUGCAUGAAGUUUCUCCAUGUGUUUACUUAUUUGGCUUCUAUUUGUCAACCUCUUCUCAUUGUGUGGUUGCAAAAUGAGGGAGUUGUGUGUAGAGAUAUAGAGAUAUGCAAAUUAAUAUUAGGUUUCAAUUAACCCAAAAUUUAAAUCAAACUAGUGCAAUUAAUUUCAUAAAAACUUUAAAAGUUUUGAUUUUAUAAUGUAAGUUUAGCAAUAUAUAUAAUUUAAUAGAAUAUUCCGUCACGAAUCUUGUAAAUACUUUUAAGUUUGGAUGGCAAAAUCAAAACUUGUAAAAUGUAAACGGCAAAAAUUAAAACUUUUAAAAUUCCACUAUUUAUCUCACAUAAGGCAUAUGGAUUUAAUGGCCCUCAAUGGGUUUAAGUGGGUUUAAGUGGGCUUAAUCAAAAUGGGCCUUUAAUGGGCCGGGUCUAUAAGCUUUAAAGGGUUUUUUGGACCACCAAGCCCAAUAGUAAAUAAUACUGUACCCGGUGCAUUUUUUUCUUUUUGUGCACCACAUCGAUUGGACGGUUUCGAUUGAAAAGCAUGUAUGAUGAAGGUCUAAUAGGGCGCGGUUUACAAAUGAUUCGGUGAACCAGGCGCAUCUAAUAUUUACAACUGUCAUACGAUCACCAAUAGUUUUCUCCUAUUUCGAAACGCGGGGGUUUAUACUCCUCGGAUCGAUCGAUGCUGAGAUAUAGAGGCGAAGGGGGAGAAGAGAACGACGAUGCGAUCAAUCUAGGGUUUCAUUGAUUCCUUCAUUUCGCUGCUCCUCCAUCGAACAAGUAUGAGAUAUCCUCUCCAAUUUUCUCCUCUAUUUUUCUCUUUUUUUCCGCUAAUUUUGGAGUAGAUUAGGGUUUCAUUUGUUGGAUAUGUGUGGUUCCUCUGUAAAUGAGGUGUAUCGGUUAGUGUUUAGUUUGGAUCGGGUUGGUUUAGAUGUUUAGGGUUUGGUAGAUUCUACUUGAUAAGCUUCGGAUGGAUUGCUCGUAAUUUAGGUGAUUUAGGAAGUUUCUGAAGAAUCACAAGGUAAUGCAUGCUGAUAUUUCUUACUUAGUUUGAACUCUUGUGGUAUAAUCCACCAUUUCCUGGUAAGUUUUAGUUUAUUUUUUAUGAUCUGUAUUUAUUUGAGAUUCCUGAAUGAAGCAGUUCAAUUCAGCUGUGUAGUAAUGCGAUUUUAAUCUCGUGGCUUGUAUUUUCCUUAUAUAUUUUAGGGAUGAAGUAUUUGAGAGUGAGAUUAAAAUUAGACAGUUGUUUAGACAAGGAUAUGCGAAUUUGAAAAGGAUAUAGAUUACGAAUGAGGAGUAAAAGUGUUAAUUUGUUUUAAUUUGUUAUGAUCAUUGGUUGUUAGCUUCAUUUGAACACUUUCAUAACCGUCGUGUUGGUCUACUGAUGGAUAAGUUGAUAAAAUAUAUAUUCUCACCUGUAGUUUCAAUUUUCAACCGAGUAGCUAUUUUUUUUUCAUGCUUUCUGUCCAUUGGUAGUGCUAUUUAUGAUAAUUUUGAUAAUUUUAAUCUAUUUAGUCAACUUCUGAGGUUACGUUAUCAUGAGCUGUUUAUAUUGAAUACAUGCUUUUGGGAAAAUGUCUCAAUUAUAUCGUUCAUGGACUUCAGCUGUUAUCUGAAAUGGUUGUGUUCUGUACGAUUUGAAUUCAAACAAGGCUUUUUUGUUUCUACCUGUAUUUAGGGCUUGUUUGGUUCAAGGGUGGAAUUGGAAUGGAUAAUGGAAUGAGAAUGAAUUGGAAUGGUAAUUGGAAUGGCCCACUCCCCCAAGACGUUUGGUUUAUUUGUGGAUUGGGAAUUGGAAUGAGUUAUUCACAUUUCAUUAUUUGGUUCGUAUAAACUAAAAAAAUUAUAGGAUACUAGAAUGCUAAUUUUACUCUCAAAUAUAAAUUUAUAUUAUUUAAAAUUUAUGAAAAAUAUAAUACUAUUCUCUAAUAAGUUUUCCAAAAAAAAAAAUCAAAUUUAUUUUUAAAAACUUUUAUUGAUGUGGGUUAGGGAUAGGGUUUUGAGAGAAAAUAGGUUUUUUUUUUUUUGAUGAGAAAGGGGUGAAGAGAAGGAAGGUGAGAUGGUCACAUGGACUUCGAGAACUUAGUGGGCUUCCGGAAUGAAAUCUCAAUCCGGGCUAGAAGACCGGAAUCAAGUUGAAGGCUAAUGGGCCAUUCCCAUUCCAGUCCGGAAUAGGAAUUCCAAACCGAUUCAUGCGAACCAAACAAAAUUAACCGGAUUUGAUCAAACCGAUUCCCAUUUCAUACCCAAAAUGGAUGAACCAAACAAGCCUUUAGUGUAAACAGCAUUGCUUCUUUA